rnacentral:lncRNA from 1 species
GAUCUCUAACUGUAUCUUCCCCAUUGUGUUUCUUUUUCUCUUUUCUUUCUCUAUCCAACUUCUUCUAUAUAUUUAGUCUGAUGUUUCUGAAUAUACAUCAGUUUUUCUUCUUUACAUCGAUGAUCCUCAGCUUUGUUGGAAUGAAUUGAAGAUGAAUUGAGUGGUGAAUCUGUGAUUCAACUGGUGUGUUGCGGAAGCGUUUGAAGACUGUGAAAGUUGAAGAUCGUAGUAAUCAAACAGUGAAUGUAAUUGUGAUUACAGAGUGUGUGAUUGUGUAUUUGUGGAUGAAGUCUAGGUGCGUUUAUAUAGAAAAAUACCUAGCGGCUAUGUUGGUUGGGUGUGUUUAAUUAUAGUAAUUAAUGAUUAUGGGAAUAUGGAAUAAUAUGAUAUAUGGAAAUAUAAAUAAUGGAAUAUGAAGAGUUAUGAUUAAAUAAAAGGGGGUGAGUGUAAAAUUUAUUAUAAUGUUAUAUUUGUGAUAUUAUUUAACGUAGGGGUGUAUCUCUAAUAUCCUCCCUCAAAUCAAAACCGGUUAGGGUUUGAUUUGAAUAUGUGGGUGCAAUGGGGUGUUUGAGUGAAUUAAUUGGGUUUAAAUUUUGGGUGUGUAUAUCGAUGAGAUUUAAUUUUUGGAUUAAAUGUUUGAAUGCUGGGCCACCUAAGGGUUUAGUGAAAAAAUCACCAAUGUUUUGUGCACUGGAGACGUGUCUUAGUGUAAUAUCUCCCGCUAAAACUUUGUCCCUUACCGUGUGGAGAUCGAUUUCUAUGUGCUUUGUUCGUUGGUGUGAGAUAGGGUUUCGAGCAAUCGCCUCUACUGUUGUGCUAUCGGUGAAGAUACGAGGAGCCGGUGAUCGUCGUAUUUGGUAUACUCCUAUCUCUUGCAAUAGCAUUGCCAACCAAGUUAUUUCACAUGUAGUAUAGGCUAAUGCUCUAUAUUCGGCUUCAACAGUUGAUCUUGAUAUGGUCUAUUGUUUUUUUGAUUUUCAAGAUACUAGUGAAGUACCAAGGAAGAUGGCAAACCCCGAUGUUGAUCGCCUAGUGGUCGGGCAACUUGCCCAAUCUGAGUCAGAGAAGGCAGAGAUAUGGUCCAUUGAGGAUCCUGUGAAAUGUAACCCCACACCAGGUGAAUCUUUUAUAUAUUUUAAUAUUCUGUAGGCUGCUUUCAUGUGAAUGUCUGUGGGUGUGCAUGUGCUGACUUAAAUAAGUCACUGCAUAUGAUAUGUCUGACCUUGUGCAAGUUAAAUAAACUAACUUGCCAAUUAUGCUUUUGUAUUUUUGUGGGUCCUCUAAUGGAACUCCAUUUUCCUAUGUUUUGUUUGAUUGCAUUGGUGUUUUAUUAGUGUGAUUAUUUGGUUGUAUUGGAUUAAUGUUAAUAUAUUUUUUUGUUUUAUAGUUGGAUAUUUUGUUUUGACUGUUUGGUGUAUUGUUUGGUUUACAUUGAGUUAAGUCAUAUUUUUCUAAUAGGUCUAAGGUGUAUUUUCUUUGCCCAAUAUAUAAGUCAUUGGGUGUUUUGGUGAAUUCAAGGCCUAGGAAGUAUUUGAGUUCUCCAAGGUCUUUUAUUUUGAAAAUUUUCUUUAAAUUUUCUUUUAAGGAAUUUAUUUUGUUUAUGUUGUUUCCUGUUAUCAACAAAUCAUCAACAUAUGCUAAUACUAUUGUGGUAUCUUUAUCAUCAAUGUUUAUAAACAGUGAGUAGUCUGUUUUACAUUGCUUAUAUCCAAAAUUGGAUAAAGCUUUUGAUAGGGUUUGAUACCACACUCUAGAUGCCUGUUUCAGGCCAUAUAGUGACCUAUUCAAUUUACAAACUGAAUUAGUGGUGAAUUUUUUGGUAUUUCUAAACCCGAAGGUAUUUUCAUAUAUAUAGUCUCUUCUAAGGUCCUAUAUAGAAAUGCAUUUUGCACAUCCAUUUGAUGCAUGUGCCAUUUCUUGGAUACUCAUAAUGCCAAGAUGACCCUUAGUGUUGUCAUCUUAGAGACAGGGGCAAAGGUUUCUGUGAAAUCUAUGCCUUCAAUUUGAUUGUAACCUUUGGCUACUAGCCUUGCUUUAUGUUUCUCAACAGUUCCAUCACUGAUGAAUUUUGUAGACCCAUUUACAUCCAAUUAGUUUCUUGUCCUCAGGGAUGCUUGUAAUGGUCCAAGUUUUGUUAUUUUCAAGAGCCUCAAGCUCUUGUUUAUGGCGUUGUUCCAUUUGGCAUGUUUAGAUGCCUCUUUGUAGGAAUUUGGGUCAACAUUGAUCUUUAUUGCUGAGAGCAGAGCAUAAUGUUCUGAAGUAAAGUUUUGGCAUGAUAUUAAUUUUGCUAUUGGGUUUCUGGAUGAUGCCAGUUGUAGUUUAUAGUCCUUUAGAUAUGAGGGUAUUCUUCUAGUCCUUUUUGAUGUUCUGUUGGUUUCCUCAUUGUUUGUUGGUAUUGUUCUGUCAGUCAUUUCUUUUUCUUCCUCUGACUCAUAUUGUUCAGUAGGUUCCAUUGAAGGAGGAAUUUGGAAAAUUUGAGGGAUUGAUGUUAUCUCCUUCUCUUCUUCUGACUCAUAUUGAUCAAGUAGAGGAGUGGUGUUUAUUGUGUAUAUGUUUGUUCCUUCUGAUGAUUCUUGAUUGAAGAAAUCUUUCUCAUGUUGUUUUGGUUCUUCUUUGAAGGGAAAGAUCUCUUCAAAGAAUGUAACAUCCCUGUUUGUGAAAAUUUCUUGAGUAGAUGGGUUGAGCACUUUGUAACCCUUUCUUUGGAAUGAGUAUCCUAGAAAAAUUCCCUUGAUGGCUCUAUUUUCGAAUUUUGUCUUUGUUUUGUUGUUUGUGGCAUAGCAAAGACAUCCAAAUACUCUUAGAAUGGAGAGAUUUAGUUGUUCAUUGAAUAAUUUGUGGUAAAGAGUAUCAUUGUCCAAAACAAUAGCUGGGGUUCUGUUUAUUAGAAAAACAGCUAUUAGGAUGCAUUCUCCCCAAAAUCUUAGGGGAAUGUUGGAUUGAAUCAUGAGUGACCUAGCCACUUGUAGUAUAUGUUGGUGUUUUCUCUCAACUCUUCCAUUUUGUUGAGGAGUAUAGGGGCAUGAUAACUGAUGUGCUAUGCCAUUUAUUUUUAAAACAUUUUGAAAUUCUUUAGAUAGGAACUCUGUUCCAUUGUCUGUUCUUAUAGUCUGAAUGUUUGCUUGAUGUUGGUUUUUAACAUCCAAUAUCUAGAUGAAUUAGCUGAAAACACUUAGUAGUUUUGUUUGUGCUUAAGUUAAAGGAUAAUCUUGUCUGUUUUGACAAAGGACAUGUAUUACAAAAUUUUCAAAAACUUUUAGGGAUACAUUUGUUCAGUAAAUGUAAAUGAUAAAAUCUAGAAGGUGCAGGGUGUCCUAGUCUUUGGUGCCAGAUUUCUUCGUCCUUUGAUUCUUUUUGUUGGCUGUGGUUGGCCUGGGAUGAUUUCAGCUUCAGGAUGUACAAGCCAUCUUUCUUCUCACCACCACCAAUCUGGUUUCCCUGCUGAUCCUGUAUGGAACAGAAAAUAGGGUGGAAGGUGAAAAAGCAAUUUAUGUCUUUUCUUAAUUUGCUUACAGAUAGUAGGUUUACUGAGAAGGAUGGUAUUUUUAAGACAUUAUGUAGGGUGAUGUCUUUUGAUAGGGAUAUAGAACUGAUAGUACAAGGUCCGACACACAGACCAUAGUACUAAAAGACGUAUCCCAAAGUAUCUAAUACGCAGAGGAGGGGGGAGUACUGGUGAUACAGUAUCCCGAACACGGUCACAACCUACCAGCAACUAGAAGUCCGGAUAGCCUAAGAUGAGUUAAGGUAUCUAUUCUAGGGUUGGGGAGGUCCCAGGUCGAAUCUUAGGAAGAUCGACUUUCCUGAGGAUCGACUUCCCUGGGAUCGACUUCUGAAUAAAGUCGAUCACCAGGAAAGUCGACCCCCAGAAAGUCGAUCUCUGGAAAGUCGAUCCCGGGACCCAAUCUGAUCAGUUUGGCAGUUAGGCGGUUACUGCCCAAAUGACCAUAUUACCCCCAUAAGAACCCCUAUAAAUAGAGGGCACCCCCCACUCAUUAAAGGCAAGUCAUUUGGAGAAGAAGGAUUCCUAGCGAAGCAGAGCUCUGCGCACUUGAGUUCCGGUCCGGUUUCCCGCGGAGUUCCCCGCUUGGCGCUUGCUUGCGCGUCUUGGAGUACUGGUCGGGUUUCACCCCCAUCAAGAACCACUUGAUGAUACUCUAGUGGUUUGGGAGUUUAGGAGGUGAAUGUUUAUUGGAUACAAUAGUGUUUUGACAUUGUGUAAGGGGGUGUUGGGGGAAGACAUAUGAUUUUUUGCCCCUGUGUCAAUGAUUCAUUGAUCAUUUUCUGGUUCAGUAUGUUGCAUCGUGUAUGAGUUUAGUGUGUAAUGAAAACAUGUAUUAUUUUUAGAAUAUGAUUUACCAGAUGAGCUUCCAGAAGCCAUGUGAGCUUGACUCUGGUUCCCUUUGAAGAUUCCUCCCAGUAUGUUUAUGAGCUCUUCUCUGGUGAUGAAUUUGUUUUCAGUUUUAUCCUCAAUUGAAUUUUGGCCAUCAUCUUCUGAUUAUGUGUUGGCAUUGUUGCUUUGAUGUUUUCCCUUGUAUCCUUUGUUGGGCUUCCCAUUGAAGCCCUUUUUUCCAUUAAAUUUUGUGGUGUUUUCUUUCUUCUUGUUGAAGUCUACUCCAUGAAGCCCAUGUCCUCAUGGAAAACCAUAUUCAUAGAAGCAUGUUUCCAAGAUGUGGUUAUGCUUCUUGCAUCUAGUACAGUAAGGCUUGGAGUCUUCACUUUGAGUUUGUGUUUUUGCUUGGGGUGUAAAGUUUCUGGUUUGUGUCACCAUGGCACUCCCUUCCUCAGGGUAGAUGCACUCUCUUUGUGUUUCUUCCUGGAGAACCAUUCUGAAAGCAUCAUCUACUUAGGGUGGUGUUUUCUUCUUUAAUAUUUGCCCCCUGAUUGACAAAUAUGUGUCAUUGAGGCCAGUGGUGAAAGUGAUUAGUCUUUCCAGAUUUUCUUUGGCUAUGCAAUUGGGAUUGUUGCAGUAUUCAAAGAUCUGGUUGUUGUCUAACUCAUUCCAGAGUCCCUGCAGUUUAGCAUAAAAAUUGCUUACAGACUCAUUACCUUGAGUGCACAGAGCAAUUUGCCUUUUGAGUUGGGAAAUAACUAGUGAGUUUGCUCUGCUGUAUUUUUGCUUCAGAUUCUCCCAUAGAGUAGCAACAUCCUUUAUGAAUAUUGUGCUGCUACUGAUUUCUUUAGAGCAGCUAUUUAGAAUCCAAGCAGUGACCAGAUCAUUGCAUCUGAUCCAGGGUAUGAGGUGAUUGUCGGUGUUAUCAUUUGGUUUUGUGAUGGAUCCAUUUAUGAAUCCUAACUUGUUUUUGGUGGAUAGGGGUCUUUGGAUCUUAACUUCCCAGGUUUGAUAGUUUGGUCCACUGAGUGGAGUUACUACCAGACUUGAAUUUGGGUUGUCGCUCCCUGAUAUAUAAUAUGUGCUUCCAUCUUUUAUUUUGAACUCAUCAUUCUUUGUUGCCAUCUGCAGAUAAAGCUGAGAGGAGAGAAAGAAGGUUUAUAAGAAGGCACACAAAAAAUCUCAAACAGAUGAGGGAGCUGAGGAAGCAGAGGAUGAAUGUUGAGGCCCUGGAGUAUUUUGGUGAUGUAGAAGAUUUGUACUCUUCUUCUGAUUCUGAGUAUGAAAAGCCUCUUGUGUUUGAGAGUGGGCCAAGCAGGAAUGAUGAACUCUGGGCUGGAGAGGUGUGUGAGCUCUUUGAUUAUGACUAUGACAGUGAUGAUGUUGUUGAGUAUGAAAUGUGGAGUGAUCCAGAGGUGGGCUUGAAUUCUGAAGGGGAGACGGCAAAUGGUGUUCUUGCUGUGGAGAUUCCACUUCCUCCUCGUCCUCCCAAGGAAUUCUUUGACAAUAUCUGGAGAAAUAGAAUUGUCUGUGUUUUGAUCUGAUUUGCCUUUUUUGUGUCUUUUUGUGUUGGUUGACCUUUUUGGUGAGGCAAAAGUUUCUUUCCUUUGAAAGAAAAAUAAAAAUAGAAACAAAAAAUGCUUUCCUUUUUGAGAAGAAAAAUAUUGAAUAUUGGAGAUCAGGAUUUAUCUUCUCUGAUACCAUGAUAGAAGAAAUAUUUGAUACGCAAAUAUAAAUAUAUAUGAUAUUUGAAGAAGGUAUGGAUGAAAUGAAUGUUGAUCAAUAUAUGUGCAAUAAUAUCGAUAAUGAUAAUGAAUGUAAAGUGAUACUGUAGGAUGAUCGAUUGAUCAAGGAUUGAUGAAGCGAUGAUCCUCAGCUUUGUUGGAAUGAAUUGAGUGGUGAAUCUGUGAUUCAACUGGUGUGUUGCGGAAGCGUUUGAAGACUGUGAAAGUUGAAGAUCGUAGUAAUCAAACAGUGACUGUAAUUGUGAUUACAGAGUGUGUGAUUGUGUAUUUGUGGAUGAAGUCUAGGAGUGUUUAUAUAGAAGAACACCCAACGGCUAUGUUGGCUAGGUGUCUUUAAUUAUAGUAAUUAAUGAUUAUGGGAAUAUGGAAUAAUAUGAUAUAUGGAAAUAUAAAUAAUGGAAUAUAAAAAGUUAUAAUUAAAUAAAAGGGGGUGAGUGAAAUAUUUAUUAUAAUGUUAUAUUUGUGAUAUUAUUUAACGAAGGGGUGUGUCUCUAAUAACCAUUAAUAAAGUUAAUUAAUAAUCAAUUAAUCACCCUAAAAUUCGGAUAUCCAAAAGUCAAUUUAUAUUUAUUCGAAUAUAUGAAUAUUUGAAUCCGAAAUUUUUAAACGAAUUCGAAUUUUAACGACGGAUUUUUCGGAUAUUCGAAUCCGUUCGAAUAAAAUUUGGAUAUCAAUUUAGGUAUCCGAAUCCAGAAUCCGAAAAUCCAAAUUCGAAUGAACAUUCGAAUAUGGAUUUUGAUAUACUAUUUACAGGCUUACCGAACAUCAUCACAUUUAUUUAAAAACUGAUUGAUCUUUACGCAAAAAAUUAGAGUAAUUAAAAUCACAUCAUCACACUAAUUCAUGCAUGAGCCAAGAGAGAUACACCUCAAAGUUCUAUUCAAGUUGAUUAGAUACAUCAAGGGUGCACCUGGUCAAGGGUUAAUAUAUAACAAAACUGAAAACCAAGCCAUUCAAGGAUAUUGUGAUGCUGAUUGGGUAUCUUGCCAAGUUAAUAGGAAGUCCUUAACUGAUUUUUGCAUAAUGUUGGGAGAUUCACUGAUCUCAUGGAAGACUAAGAAACAAGUUACAGUGACAAGAUCAUCUUGUGAAGCUGAGUAUAGAGCAAUUGUUCAAUCAGCUUGUGAGAUAACAUGGAUCCAUCAAUUGAUGUAUGAGUUGAAAAUUAAAGUUAAAAAGUCAACUGUCUUGUUCUGUGACAAUAAAUCAACCAUCUAUUUGGCAAAUAACUCAGUGUUCCAUGAAAGAACCAAACAUAUGGAGAUAGAUUGUCAUUUCAUAAGAGAGAUGAUCAAUCAAGGAAAAAUAUUGAUAAAACAAGUUGGAACAAAAUUCCAACUUGCUGAUUUUUUAACCAAAGCAUUAGGUGAUAGAGAGAUCACCAAUUUCCAUUCAAAGCUUGGAAUACUCAAUAUAUAUUCCAAGGCUUGAGGGGGGAGUAAAGGAAUUAGUUUUGGUUGUAAUUAGGUCUGUAAUUAAACAGAGUCAUAAUCUGUUUCUAAUUAAUCAAUUAUCAAAUUGAAAAGAGUGCAGAAUAUUUUAUAAUCCGUAAAGAGGACCUAAUUGGAAUAAUCAAUUACUUAUAAACUUUUAACUAAUUUGUUGUUGAGUUUUCACUAUGCAGGAAAUUGACCAAGACUCAUACAAAGAGUAUUAAAGAAGUCGAAGGUCCAACUUGCAAAAGUUUAAAUAAAAACGAACGGGCCAAUUCUGAUGGGCUAAAGAAAUUGGCCGGUUUUAUAAAUAUAUUGAAACUUUAAAUGAUGUGUUAUGAUUGAUUGUUAAAUAAGUAAAUCAUGUAAUAACAAUGGAUUUAAUGAAAAUACAAAACUGUUGGUGUGUGGGCUCGUCGGUGCAAGCUCUCCACCUCAACUCUCUCAAGUGUUCACUUUCUAGAAUUGUCAGUUUCUCCCCCUCGCGGACCAGGGGGAGUAUUUAUAGUCAUUUACUCCAACGGCUCCUGGGCUUCGUGGGCCUUUGGCCGCCCAGCCCGUUCGGGCGCUUGGGCUCGUGGGGUGGCCAGUUCGGUCCAUGGAGCGGUCCAUGGUACCAACAAAAAACAAAUUACAAGUUGAGACAGAAUCGUACAAAGUACAAACUACUUCUGUUAAAUGCUUCUAUAGGGUUUCUAUAGGGUUUUUACCCUAUAGGCUCUUUGAAAGAGUACCUUAUGAGUAAUUCAGUCAUUCACAAAGACAUGGAAAGAGUCAAACAAAAAAUAACAGUUAUUAUCUCUGCAAAAUUGCUGAACAAAUAAUAACAGAGUUUUAAGAGAAGAAACGUGUAAAAUGUUACAUAACGAAAAAAGAGAGGAUCCACUUGCAUGCAGAAUUACCAUCACCCAUGUGUUGAAUCUGAAGUUGAGUCUCAUUACCUAACUUAGCAGACCCGGGUCUCUGAUACGGCAUCAGAGAUGAGAUUGACUGGACAUUUGGAGUAAAAUGAUCGAUGUGUCGCUCCAGUGUCCGGGUAUCAGGCUUCCAUGUCAUGUUGAUCUAGAUCACUUGUUGAAAAAUACGAGUCUGCAAUCUGAGUAUUGUUUGUAGUGGGCUGCCUAGGUAUUAAAUAAUUAGAAUGUUGUUUUUGGACUUGGGCUAGGUGAUACUGAGCUGAUUACAUAGGUGAGCCCACAUUAUAUGGUGAGACUGCAUUAUUUAUUUGUGAGUUCUCUUGGGCCGAAUUUGUGGUUUGGUAUGGGCUGACCCGAUAUUGACAUUUAUAUGAACUGUGGCCCAUACCACCACAAACAGGACAAGGGUUCCUUCUUACUUGGGGAGCUCUUCCUCUCGACCGCCCUCUUCUGAUCCCGUCUUAAAGUAAAUAACAAUAUAUAUUCUCUAAUAUAUACGGCUCUUAUCGGCUACGAAAGGUUCGUAUGCGAACCUUUGCUGAUCCGGGCCGUCUAUUUGUUUAAAUGAAAAUGGACAAUAGGUAAAAAUCAAUUUCGUUGGGUGUUAAUUUUUGGAAACCGGUAUUACCGGGCAAAUUUUUUUGCAACCUGCUAAUAGGCUAGUAGUAGACUAGGAGAAAUUUCAAAAGUAGGUAUACGAGUGUCACUUCAUACACUCUGUAAUUUAUCAGUCAAAUCAUAAAUUUUUCUAGCAUUACCCAAUAGUUUGAUUAUCACCGAAAACAACUCAUUCCCCCCACCCGAUUUACUUUCGACGAAAAAAUCCAGCGAAACCCUAGCGGCGUUUCCGGCGUCGAUUCACUCUGGCAGUCGCGUGUAUUCGGUUAGUUUUCUAAUUUUUUUCCUCUAUUUAAACAGUUGUUCUAUAUACUCUGUUUCGAAAUUUGUUUUUGGGUGUAGUUGAAGGCUUGCGAUCGACAUUGUUGGGUUUGAGGUAGAAGUUGUUUUGUGUCUAAAAUAAGGUACAUCUGGUUGCUUGUAUUUCUUGAUGUUUUAGCGGUUAUUUGUACUAAGCAAACAGUAAUUUUAUCUUCUAUAUAUGAUGAAAUGCACAAUGUGAGGAGGUUCCGAUCUGUCCUGUUUCAUUUUUUACGUUUUGUUUUGGGCAGAGUAAGGUACAUUUUCUUCUUUUUUUUAGCUAUUACAUGUUCCAUUUGUAUUGAACUUUCACAUAUAUGUAUUAGACUUUCGAAUUUGUUUAUUUUCAGUGAUUUUGUAAAAAUUUAAAACAUAAAGAAAUGUCUUCGUCGAAUCAAUCUAGCGAUCUCCGAUCAUCUCAAAUACAAUUAACCUAACCAAGAAGAGAUGAAAUAGGGGAUCCCGACGGUUUAACACUCUUUCUUCUGUUUAUUUUUUAGUGCGACCUAAUGAUUAUUCCGAUGCUGGCAGAGAGACAUUGAUUAUGUAAAAAUUCGUUAGUAACUGUAUAUGUUUGUAGGAGACGUAGACAUUGAAUUUACCCUUACCGACGUAGAUAGAGUGGUGUCCAGUGUACUUUCGGAUAUAAAUUCAAAUUUUCUGACCAUGCCUUUAGAGAAGAGAAAGCGAAAUUGUAAGUCAUUUCAACGUUAUCGUUAAAUUUCAAAAAUAUAUAAUUAUGAUGCUAUUAAUUAAAAAACUCGUUUUUAUUGUUUUCAAUUAAAACAGCCAGUGAUACUGAUUCUGAGGGCAAGAAAAAAACAGGAAAGAUAAUGCAUCUUGGGACAGCACUAGUGUGGGAUCUAGCAUUGCUAAGGAUAUAGGUGAAAGUAGUAAUGCUAAGAAGACAGUUGUCAAUGCUAGGAGGGAGAGGACAGAGGACAACCUCCAUAUCAGUGAGUAUUUAUGAAAAUAAUUUUUUUCACAACCACAGUUCUUUUGAAAUUUAUGUAAUUAUCUUUCAGUUAAUGAUCUGAUAAGACAUCGAUCUGGUAUUCUGACAUAUAUUGAUGUUAUCCGCAAUGGUCGAAUUAAAAUCCAGAAAUCAAUUAUGUGGAAAAUGAAAGAUACUUGUUUCGGAUCUUUUGUUGGCAUGGUCGAUUUCCCAAUAAAAUCGAGACUGUUGGAUGAUUUGGUUGGCUGUUUUGUUUGUAAUUACUGUUUUGAAAUCAAGGGAAAGAAAUUGGAGGUUUGGGUCAAGGAAAUCGGCGAAAUUAUUAGAGUUCCAUAUCAAGGACUGCCAAUUAACAUGAAGCCAAAGGCGAAACCCACAGGUGGAAGAUUUUCCUCAAGCAUCAUUCAAGAUGACUCCAGACAGCGGAGUGUAUGUUCUCACGACAAUGAAUUAUAUAGUCAUGGAGGACACCGUGCUAUGGAGUAGAAAAGAUGUGGAUCAAAUGGCCGACAAAAUCGUAUAUGAUAUUCUUCGCGCUGCACUUUUAGAUGUUAAAUGCUACUUACAUUACAAACAAAAGCUUAGAUUGUGUCUGUUAGGGUAUUAUGUAUUGUGUUUAUUACAGGUGAAUUAGUAAAUGGUACAUCUAUUAGUAUAUGUUAUAUCAUUAACUAAUUAAUUUAAUAGCAUUAUCAAACACUGAAAAAGCAUUAAUUAUAAGCAGUUAGGAUAUCUAGCCCUCUGUUUAUCGAGCAUUAAGGAUACCUUGGCCCAUGGACAUUGACCAUACACAUAAUGUCAUUACAAGCAAUCGGAGUAGCAUCCAGGCCAUUCAUUUGCAACAUUAUCAAGUAAUAAUAGCAUUAGUAUGUAGGUUACUAGCAUUAAGGAUAUCUUGGCCCAUGAUCAUUGACCACACACAUAGUAGCAUUAUAAGCAAUCGGAGUAGCAUCCAGGCCAUUCAUUUGCAAUAUUACCAAGUAAUAAUAGCAUUAUUAAGUAGGUUACUACGAUUAAGGAUACCUUGACCUAUGUUUCAUUAACCACACACAUAAUAGCAUUACAAGCAAUCAGAGUAGCAUCUAGGCCAUUCAUUUGCAACAUUACCAAGUAGUAAUAGCAUUAGUAGGUAGGUUACUACCAUUAAUGAUACCUUGACCUAUGUUUCAUUGAACACACACAUAAUAGCAUUACAAACAGUCGUAGUAGCAUCCCGGCCUUUCAUUUUCAACAUUACCAAGUAAUAAUAGCAUUAGUAGGUGGUUUACUAGCAUUGCGGAUACGUCAGCCUAUGUUUCAUCGAGCACACACAUAAUAGCAUUAGAAGCAGUCGUAGUAUCAUCCCGGCCAUUCAUUUUCAACAUUGCCAAGUAAUAAUAGCAUUAGUAGUUUGAUGAAGCACGAAAUCUGCUACCAGUAGGCUCGCGGGGUUGCGAGGAGGGCCGGAGGCUUUGGAGUCCACGACGCGCGCUCUACGUUAAAUACCUGCACAAGUGGAGGGGAGUCGGCGACUCAGGUGUGGGAGUCGGCGACUCGGGCUCCUUUGUUCUCUGGUGUCGAGUGUUGUGAGUCAAGGUGACAUGUGAAUGGAGGACACCCCUAGGACCCCUUUUAUAGGGUCCUGGAGGCGUUUCCAUUCAAUAGAGUGGGGCCCACCCCAUUAUGGUACCCUAUUGAAGGGCGCCAUAAUGGUGUGGGCCUGCCCAAGUAACGGCUGGGAAUCGCCUACUCCUUGUGGGAGUCGCCUACUCAGGUGUGGGAAUCGCCUACUCAGGUGGGAAUCGCCUACUCAGAGGGAAUGGGCUAGUCCCCACUGGAAUCAGCUACUCCCCACUGGAAUCGGCUACUCCCAUAUGUUGACUUGAGGACUUUGAUGUAGACACUUGCUCCGCACCGUGGAUGCCUUCCGGGGGUCCGGCGUAAAGCGACGGAACCCUAGUCCUUGUUGAGGGGCGUUGCUGGGAGUGACUGACGUAAUCAGGCAUGUCUCACCAGUACUCCCCCCUGAAGGGAGUACAAGAAACAUGCGUGUAUCGCCAAUAUCCCCCCCAAGCAAGGUGAUCUGCAUCAAGGCCAAAGCGACAAGAUGGGAUCGAAUCAUUGCGGUCACAGCGACACAAUGACUCCAUUAUCCAUGCACUAUCAGAUGGAUUGAUUCACUAUCAGAAUCUAGUUCCAGGCCAACGGAACUACGUGUUUAUAGUCCAACUCUGAUCAGGAGCGACUUUUGCUGUGUCACCAUCAAUGCCAAAGCGACAAGAUGAGGGGGAAUUAUUAAGGCCAAAGCGACAAAAUAAUUCCCGUCCAUUAAGGCCAAAACGACAAAAUGGAGUGACUCACUAUUAGAGCCUGAUUCUGGCCGAAGCGACAGAAUGCGUGGAUUCACAAUUAGAAUCUGAUUCUGGCCGAAGCGACAAAAUGCGUGGAUUCUGGCCGAAGCGACAAAAUGCGUGGAUUCUGGCCGAAGCGACAGAAUCUAGUUCACUAUCAGAACUGAUAUUUAUAGUCCACCCUGAUCAAGAGCGACUUUAUGUCCACAACGACGGUUACCCCACCGAGGCCAAAGCGACAAGGUGGGUCGAGAUCAUUAAGGCCAAAGCGACAAAAUGAUCUCCAAGUCUAUCAAGGCCAAAGCGACAAGAUAGAAGAAUUAUUGAGGCCAAAGCGACAACAUAAUUCUUGGUCCAUUAAGCCAAAGCGACAAAAUAAAUCUGAAUCUAUUAAGGCCAAAGCGACAAAAUAGAUCCGAUUCUGGCCGAAGCGACAGAAUCAUACCUGUAAAACAAAAAACAAUCUGCAAAACAACCAUAUCAGUCUAAAGGAUAUAUUUAUUGAUUUACUGACCUUGUUGUGUGGAGCAGCCUCUCAAGCUGCUCCUCCUUAUGCUCAAUAAAUCCUUGAUCGAUCUAGCCGAAGUGACAGAUUUAUCAUGCUCAAAAUGUGACAGCUUCUGGCCGAAGCGACAGAAGUGUCGGGAAGAGCUUAUGAUACUCCCCCCAGAGUUCGACGACUUCUGGCCGAAGCGACAGAAGUGCCGGGGAGAGCUUGUGAUACUCCCCCUUUGAGGUCAUUAAGGCCAAAGCGACAAAAUGACGUCUGGUCUGUCAAGGCCGAAGCGACAAGACAGACCGACUCACUAUCAGAGUCUGAUUCUGGCCGAAGCGACAGAAUCUGUUGAUUCACUAUUAGAAUUUGAUUUCGGUCAAGGCUACAGAUUCACUAUCAGAAUGUGAUCCUGUCCAAGAUGGCGGAAUCUUACCUGCAAAAAAUUAAACAUUCUGCAAAACAACUAGAUCAGUCCAAAACGCAUAUUUUAUUUACUUAUUGAACUUACCGUGCGAUUUUACCUUCCUUUGCUCAAAUUGGUCCUUGGUAAACCUGGCCGAAGCGACAGAUCUUCCCGUGCUCAAUGUUUUGACGACUUCUGGCCGAAACGACAGAAGUGUCGGGAGAGCUUGUGAUACUCCCCCCGAAAUUUGACGACUUCUGGCCAAAGCGACAGAAGUGUCGGGAGAGCUUGUUAUACUCCCCUCGAAAUUUGACGACUUCUGGCCGAAGCGACAGAAGUGUCGAGAGAGUUUGUGAUACUCUCCCUCGAAAUGCGACGACUUCUAUCCAAAGCGACAGAAGUGUUGGAAGAGCUUGUCAUACUCCCCUCGAAAUUUGACGACUUCUGGCCGAAGCGACAGAAGUGUCAGGAGAGUUUGUGAUACUCCCCAUCGAAAAUCAUGUCAUUGUGACACAUAACUUUUGAAAUGAGUUGUUUUCCGAAAUAUUUGACUACCUUUUGUCACUGGGCUACCUUUUGUUUUUUCUUUGCUAAUAUUUCAUAUAAAUUACCCUUUAAAUUGUAACUAAGGCCCGAAACGAAAUUCACAAGUCGUAAUUUAGCCACUCUGGACGUAAAUUAGACUCUGCUAACCCUAUUGCUAGCCACUCUGGGCGUAGACUUGGUCGUACGAAUCGUAGUUCAGCCUACGGUUAAAUUUACGGAUAAUUUAUACCUCCAGAUUAACGUAGAGUUGUAAAAGAUAGCGCGAAUGACAACUUUGAAAGAUGCAAAUACUUUAGACUCGAGGGUUACGUUUGUAAUUUCCAAUUACAACUUAAGUUUGAUCCCUGAUGCCAGAGGGAGCUUGUGAUACUCCCUCUUGAAGUGUGACGACUUCUGGCCGAAGCGACAGAAGUGUCUGAGAGAGCUUGUGAUACUCCUUCUUGAAAUGUGACGACUUCUGACCGAAGCGGCAGAAGUGUCGGAGAGAGCUUGUGAUACUCCCUCUUGAAAUGUUUUGAUAUUUUUGUAAUUUUUUGGAACUCAAUUUAAUCAAUUAUUUGGCUUUUUUAAUUAAUUGUUUAUUUAAUUUAUUUUUGAAUUGUAACUAAGACCCGAAAUUAGAUUCACAAGUCGUAAUUUAGCCACUCUGGACGUAAAUUAGACUCUUCUAACCCUAUUGCUAGCCACUCUGGGCGUAGACUUGGUCGUACGAAUCGUAGCUCAGUCUACGGCUAAACUCGCGAAAUAAAUUAAACUUCACAACUAACUAAUUAAGACUCGCGAAGCUAAUUGACGUAAUAAGUUGGAGAUACAAAAAUUAUCGGGAAUAGGACUUAGAACUUUUUGAGAACCUAAGAUUCUAGAUUUCAUUCCUUAAUGUUUAGUUGAACUCUGGCCGAAGCGACAGAGUAACUUUUGGACCCGCAUCAAGGCCAAAGCGACAAGAUGGGGUAGGAUCGUUAAGGCCAUAGCGACAAAACAAUUUAAAUCUAUUAAGGCCGUAGCAACAAAAUAGAUUUUUGUAUUGUGGGUACUUAGAACCUCUUGGGGUUGGGUUCAUUUGUAUUUAUCAACUACCUAAGACUCUACACUUAUACCCUAAUGUAGUUGGACUCUGGCCGAAGCGACAGAGUAACUUUUGGAUCCGCAUCAAGGCCAAAGCGACAAGAUAGGUUGAGAUCAUUAAGGCCGAAGCGACAAAAUGAUCUCCAAGUGUAUCAAGGCCAAAGCGACAAAAUGAUCUCCAAGUCUAUCAAGGCCAAAGCGACAAGAUAGAAGAAUUAUUGAGGCCAAAGCGACAAAAUAAUUCUUGGUCCAUUAAGGCCAAAGCGACAAAAUGGACCUGGAUCUAUUAAGGCCAAAGCGACAAAAUAGAUUUCUAAUGUAGGGUACUAGUUAGAGUCGUAGGUAGUGAUUUCGAAAGAGUGUCACAAAAAUACAAUCUAACUAUUCUAUUUUGUAACUUGUACUAGCAUAGAGACUAAGAGACUACAUUUUAGGACUACAAUUCUAGACUUGAACCCUGGUGUAUUAGUCAAGCUCUGGCCAUAGCGAUAGAGUGACUCUCGAUCCUCAUCAAGGCCAUAGCGACAAGAUGGGAUAGGAUCAUUAAGGCCAAAGAGACAAAAUGAUCCUUGGUCUAUUAAGGUCAUAGCGACAAAAUAGAUUGAAAACGAGGGUAUCAUUGAUUGUAGUCGUAAAUUUAGAAUCUCGGGGCUAGAUUCGUGAAUGAGAGUCCGAUUUAGAUUCUUAAAUCGCACUUUGGAAUCAUAAAUCGUAAACUAGACUUGUGAUCGCAAUUUAACCACUCUGGACGUAAAUUGGAUUUUGUAAUCAUCACUUAGACUCGCGGGUCGUAAGCUAGGUCUGAGCAACGGGUAUCAUCCAGCCAAAGCGAUGGAUGAUACAUGAGGAUGAAGAGACGGACGUCAUCUAGCCGAAGCGAUGGAUGAUUGAUCCGUCUGAAGCGAUGGAUGAUUAUUCUAAAUACGAUACUGCAUAUAUCUAUAUCGAUUAAAGAGAGAUUUAUUUAGAAUAAUAUCGCUAUUGAGAAUACAUGAGAAUAGUAUGAGCGACAAACAAAAGAAUUAACGUGUUUUUUUGGUCGCUGGUUGCCACUGACAGAAGCAUAGCCUGCAUGGUUAUUCUGGCCAAUCCUAUCUCUUAACAGGUGAUAGUUCCUCACUACUAGCGUGAUGUACUUGAUUGCGAGUGUGAACUGUGGCUCUGGUUUCCAUCACUGUCAUAGGAUUGAGAGCGUGGGCUAUGGUCAUAACUGUUACUGGGCCGAGAGUGUGAGCUAUGGCUUUUUUGGCCAUAACUGUUACCAGACUGAGAGUAUGAGUUAUGACUUUGGUGGUCACAACUGCUGAUGAGAAGCUCCUCUCUGUAUCGAGGAGGACUAGUCGAGGUUUCAGACUGGGAACUUGUAUCCUUGCAUGUAUCUUCUUUAGCAUAGCGAGCUUUUUUCUGGCUGGGCGGCUCGACUCCGUCCAGCUUAUUAUUGUUCUCCUCUUCUAUCUCAAUGAACGAUUGAGCUCGUUGGAAGAGGUCGGGGAGGGUCUCCACUUUAUGGAGCGUAAGGUUCUGGGCCAAAGGGGAGUAGGGUACUAGCCCAUUCAUGUACCCCGCUAUGGCCAGACUCGGGAUUAGGUCGUUCACCUCUGUCAUCAUCGAAGUGAAAUUAAUCGUGUAAUCCCUCAGAGACAGUUUGUUCUGUCGUAAUGCGAGUAGUGCGUUGGCACUGUAUUUUAUUCAGAUCAUUCCCACAUGUUGGGCGAUGAACUUCGAAGAGAGGUCCGCGAAGUUGGAGACCGAGCCAGCAGGCAGACCAGGGAACUACCGAUAAGCGUUGCCUUUGAGAGUGCCGGGGAAUGCCCGACACAACAGUCCGCUAUCGAUGGUCUGCGGUUCCAAGAUACUAAGGUAGAGGUUGAUGUGAUCUUUGGGAUCACUCGAACCGUCAUACGCUUCUAUCUUGGGUACCCGCCAGGUUGGUGGAAAAGAUUCUUUCAAAAGGUCCUUGUGAAAAGGAGAGCUUUUGAUUCUCAAGAGCUCGAUCGGAUUGCUGGCGGCCGGAUUGUCGGCCAGCUUCCGACGGAGAUCUUCCACGAACUUUGUUGUAAGAGUCUUGUGAGUGAGACUCUUGCUAGGUCCAACCUUUGCUUUAGGAGGCACUAGAGAUUUCCUCUUUUUCUCCGCAGACAGAGAAUAGUAAGACCCAUAUUUACCCGCUCCUUCGCGAAUGAUGGUCUUGUUGCCCCUCGCUUUCUCGAGGUUGCUAACUCUUUUUUCUAUGGAAUCCAUAAAGUUAAUCAACCUCUCUUGUAGCGCAGGAGUUAGGUUUACUCCCCCAUUUGAUGGGAGCGAUGAGGGCACCUCAUGUGUCGAUAGUGGUAUAUUGGGGGUUGGUAUAAUACGGGAACCAACCCUCCUACCAGAAGCUCCUACCUCAGUAGCAAUGGCGAGAGCUUUCUUUUUAUGAUCCUUAGUAAAAGGAGCCAUAAAUAGGAUGGUUGCUUCUAUCGGGUCGAAGCAACAGACUACGAGUGGGAGUUCUUCCGAAGUGCCGGAAGCUAUGGGUAGGUAACUGCCCCCCCCGGGUGUCACAAAACAGAAAAAUUUUGUACAAUAUUUCUUUGUGAUUUUGUGACCCCCUUGAGCAGUACUACUAGUCCCCCAAAGUUUGAGUGCUUGAAGUGUGUUUCUGGAAUUAUUCCUAAGGGGUACGCUAGCUCGUCUANNNNNNNNNNNNNNNNNNNNNNNNNNNNNNNNNNNNNNNNNNNNNNNNNNNNNNNNNNNNNNNNNNNNNNNNNNNNNNNNNNNNNNNNNNNNNNNNNNNNUAUCUCUUGCCCGUCUUCGUAACCCAGGUAGAAGAUGCCUGGGUGAACCUCAUCUAUGAUGACGUACGGGCCUUCCCAUCUUGCCGAGAGCUUCCCCUUCAUAUGGUCUACUCCCGUUACUUAGUGUUAAUAAUAAAAUAAAAUAUUAUAUUGGAUUGGAUUUGAAUAUUAUAUCUGUGAUUAGGGGUGGACGUGGGCGAGUUAAACCAGAACAUGUUGUGUACGGAUUCAGGUGUAUAUUUUNNNNNNNNNNNNNNNNNNNNNNNNNNNNNNNNNNNNNNNNNNNNNNNNNNNNNNNNNNNNNNNNNNNNNNNNNNNNNNNNNNNNNNNNNNNNNNNNNNNNNNNNNNNNNNNNNNNNNNNNNNNNNNNNNNNNNNNNNNNNNNNNNNNNNNNNNNNNNNNNNNNNNNNNNNNNNNNNNNNNNNNNNNNNNNNNNNNNNNNNNNNNNNNNNNNNNNNNNNNNNNNNNNNNNNNNNNNNNNNNNNNNNNNNNNNNNNNNNNNNNNNNNNNNNNNNNNNNNNNNNNNNNNNNNNNNNNNNNNNUGUUUCGGAUACAAAUAUGUGGAAAAUGAAAGAUACAUGUUUCGGAUCUUUUGUUGGCAUGGUCGAUUUCCCAAUAAAAUCGAGACUGUUGGAUGAUUUGGUUGGCUGUUAUGUUGGUAAUUACUGUUUUGAAAUCAAGGGAAAGAAAUUGGAGGUUUCGGUCAAGUAAAUCGGCGAAAUUAUUGGAGUUCCAUAUCAAGGACUGCCAAUUAACAUGAAGCCAAAGGCGAAACCCACAGGUGGAAGAUUUUCCUCAAGCAUCAUUCAAGAUGAUUCCAGACAGUGGAGUGUAUGUUCUCACGGCAAUGAAUUAUAUAGUCAUGGGGGACACCGUGCUAUGGAGUAGAAAAGAUGUGGAUCAAAUGGCCGACAAAAUCGUAUAUGAUAUUCUUCGCGCUGUUCUUUUAGAUGUUAAAUGCUACUUACAUUACAAACAAAAGCUUAGAUUGUGUCUGUUAGGGUUUUAUGUAUUCUGUUUAUUACAGGUGAAUUAGUAAAUGGUACAUCUAUUAGUAUAUGUUAUAUCAUUAACUAAUUAAUUUAAUAGCAUUAUCAAACACUGAAAAAGCAUUAAUUAUAAGCAGUUAGGAUAUCUAGCCCUCUGUUUAUCGAGCAUUAAGGAUACCUUGGCCCAUGGACAUUGACUAUACACAUAAUGUCAUUACAAGCAAUCGUAGUAGCAUCCAGGCCAUUCAUUUGCAACAUUACCUAGUAAUAAUAACAUUAGUACGUAGGUUACUAACAUUAAGGAUACCUUGGUCCAUGAUCAUUGACCACACACAUAGUAGCAUUAUAAGCAAUCGGAGUAGCAUCCAGGUCAUUCAUUUACAAUAUUACCAAGUAAUAAUAGCAUUAUUAGGUAGGUUACUACGUUUAAGGAUACCUUGACCUAUGUUUCAUUGACCACACAAAUAAUAGCAUUACAAGCAAUCGGAGUAGCAUCUAGGCCAUUCAUUUGCAACAUUACCAAGUAGUAAUAGCAUUAGUAGGUAGGUUACUACCAUUAAUGAUACAUUGACCUAUGUUUCAUUGAGCACACACAUAAUAGCAUUACAAACAGUCGUAGUAGCAUCCCGGCCUUUCAUUUUUAACAUUACCAAGUAAUAAUAGCAUUAGUAGGUGGUUGACUAGCAUUGCGGAUACGUCAGCCUAUGUUUCAUCGAGCACACACAUAAUAGCAAUACAAGCAGUCGUAGUAGCAUCCCGGCCAUUCAUUUUCAACAUUACCAAGUAAUAAUAGCAUUAGUAGUUAGGUUACAAGCAGUGAGAAUAUCUUGGUCUAUGUUCAUUGAGCACACACAUAAUAGCAUUAGAAACAGUCGUAGUAUCAUCCCGGCCUUCCAUUUUCANNNNNNNNNNNNNNNNNNNNNNNNNNNNNNNNNNNNNNNNNNNNNNNNNNNNNNNNNNNNNNNNNNNNNNNNNNNNNNNNNNNNNNNNNNNNNNNNNNNNUAACAUUUUCAUUUUCAAACAGUCGUAGAACAUUUCAAAUAUCAAAAAAUAAAUAUUCGUCUUAUAAGUGGUGUCAAAUGUAACAGUGAUCUCCGAAUAACUUAAAUUGUUGAAUCAUUAUGGAAUCAACCCAAAAAACAUGUUUAAGUCUACCACUAGAAUCCUUGACAAUAGAAUAAAAGAAAUCCGGUUGUACAGACUUCUUCAUUUCGAAUUCCUCGACCAGUAGAUCAACGUCAUAAUUCUUCAGAUCGACACGAUCGUCACGACACAUAUUCGAUAUAUCCAAUUGCGUACAUCCCAUAUGUUCGAUUCCACCAACUUGAGUUGAAAAAUAAGCAGUUUGCUGUGAAACGGGUACAUUGACUUCACUAAGAGAUUGGAAAAGUAAUCUGGAGGUAGAGGAUAUCGAACGAUUUAUGGGAAGGAACCGUACUUUUGACGAUGUGGUGAGGGGAUGAUUGUGCUCAAGAACAAUAUGUUUAACAAUCUAUACUUCAGACAUACCUUCUCUCUUUAUUUUAAUGCUUGCACAACAACCACACCUUGAAACUGCAUUCUUACGUCGCUUGCCUAAUUUAAGAGGAUGUAAUAGAUCAAUUGUUCCUUCUUUCGAACACAACAAUCAUCUCAUAACUAAAUUUUGUUUACCGUCAUCCUUACUGGUUUUAUAGUUAGUAGAACCCAAACGAACGGAGAAACCCAUUUUCGACGCAUAACCAUAAUAUUGAUCAAGAGCAUCAGAAUAUGAGGAAUAAAUUUGACCAAAAGUGGGUGGUGAAUUUAAUUUAGCAUUGUCUGAAGAAGAAUUGGUAUCAGUGGGUUGUUUGAGAACGAAAAAACUAGGAGAAGCAUUGACGGAAGAAGUAAUAGCAUUAGGUAGUCCAGUUACAUCAUUAUUUUCAGAAGAAAUAGUACGCAGAUUGUCUAAUGGAGUGUCAUGGUUUUGAUGAGGAACAUAAUUAGCAUUACGAAUAAGUGGGAAAUCAUUGAUUCUUGAACAUUGUACAUUACCAUGGGUUUCAUUAGGAUUACAAUCAGAUGGUUUUUCUGUUUGGAUAGAGUAAAAAUCGAGACUAACAUUACACUGAGGUCUAGAACGUUGUGUGGGUGGAAUCAAUGGUUGGGCAUGGAGUGGACGAUAUGGGAGUGGUGUGAUAUAUAUAGAGGAGGAAUUAGGAGAGAAAUGAAUGGUGUUUUGAGGCUCAAUGUUAGGUUAUUGUAAGGGUGAUGAUUGAUCAAUAACAUUUAAUGAAUUUAGAGUCAUACCUUGAUGUUAUGAAUAGAUAUGACCAAAGAAGAAGAAGAUCAAAAACCGAUUCCUAGAUUGAGGGGAGAAAAUGAGAUGAAGAUGUAGUGCUCUGUGAAGAACUUGAGAUGGGAAGAAGGUUGAAGAUGAGUAAAGAAUGAAAUGGAAGAAAAUGUAAGAUAAGAAGAUAGAAGCCUAACACGAUUUGACAUUUUUUUAAAUUUUUAGCAUUAACGAUAAAAAAGAAAGCAUUACAUGACUAAGGUAUUAGCACGGUCAACACAAAAAUCAACACUAGUACGAUGGAGACAUAAAAGUGGUAGUAGAUGGUUGAUAGAUGUCAAAGUCAUUUAAUGAUGAAAAGAUGGUAAGAAAAAAACAAAAGGGUAAGACAAAAACAAGAAGAAUAGAAGCUUGCGUGGAAAAAAUAAAACGAAUAAAAUAAUUAAAAAUAAAAUAAAAUAAAAAACUACACGUGGAUUGCAAACUGACGCAACCCACGUGUUGCGGAAGAAAGUUUCACUGGUUGGCAACCGGUGAAACAUGAAGGGUGGGAAUUAUUUGCGUGAUUUUGGAAGGCUGCGAUGCCUUCGCAUUGUCAGAGAAUGCGAAGGCAUUCGUAGCUGAUUUAUUUUGCUAAUAUAUAUUUCAAUAGAGAUGAUCGGGUAUAUAUGAAUGAUGGUGAUUGACUGAUUGGAUAUGAUAUGACUAUUAAAAUACCAUGACGGUUGCGGAAAAACAUUAUUGACAGUCUAGCCGUCAAAAACUUAAAAAGAAAAAUUACACCAGUGACCAUACCGUAAAAUUUUUUCUCUUUUUAAUAGGAAAAAUAGUAUCGCAAACUCGUCCUGAUUACCGAUGACCACUACAAAAAAAUAUAGGCAGUUCGGACGAAGCAGAGUUAACGAAAAUUCCGUUACAAAUACUAAUAAGCAAAGUUAACGGAAUUUGUAACGGAAUUUCCGUUAACUUUGUUGUUUCCGUUAUAAAUACUAGAUAUCAAGAUGAACUUAAAUAUUGUAACGGAUUUUUAAACUAUUUUUAACGGAUUUUCGUUUAAGAAUAGUAAUUAUUUAAUCAUUUUUCCUCCUAAAAAAUAAUUUCCCCAAAUAAAUUUUUAUUCACUCCUAUUUUCCCAAAUCGUUCUAUUCCCUCCUAUUUCCCCAAAUCCUCCUAUUCCCUCCUCAUUCCUCCCAAAUAAUACUAUCUCAUUUCCCCCAAUAUCUCCACCCGAUUUCCCCCAAUAUCUCCACCCGAUUUCCCCAAAUAUCUCAUUUCUGCCGGAAUUUUUCGUUCAGUCCCACAGUAUGCCACUUCGAUCUCCACACGCCGGAAUUUUUCGUUCAGUCUUCACAGUACCCCACUUCGAUCUCCACACGCCGGAUUUGUCAUUUUCACUUCAAUCUCCACAUGCCGCUUUUGCUUGCUUCGUUUCAGUGGAUUCAUUUCUGUUUUACUGGUAAGAAUACAAAAUCUUUUACAAUGCUUUCUUUUACAAUACCCUUAAAAUCCAUUCCAUUUUCUGUCUAUAAGAACCAAACCCUAAGAACCAUUUUUUCCUAUUAGUUUCUUCUUUUUCUGUCUAUAAGAUCAUUUUUUUCCUAUUGGUUUCUUUCCCGUUUUCAUUUCCGUUCCUCUUUUUAUAUACACAUGGAUUUACAGAUAGAAUUUAAAGAGUCUAUCUAAUUUGGUGUCUAUCCCAAUGUUUACUUCACUGUGAAGUUUAUAAAGCACUACACUUAUCUAUCUAUUUGUUUCUGUCUAGAUUUAUGUAUAUCUGGAAUUUAUUGGAAUUAAUAGAUCAGAUUUAUUUGUUAAUAGAUUUGAUUCUUAUGAUUAUUAUUAUUAUUUUCGUUCAUAUGGGAUUAGUGAACAAACAAUUUGUGUUUUAAUUUUUGAGAAUGUAUCCAUCAACCGUUUCAAAACAAUUUGUGUUUUAAUCCGAAAUCUUUUGCAAUGCUUUCUUUUACAAUACAUCCAUUCCAUUUUUUGUCUAUAAGAACAAAAUCCUAAAAAUCAUUUUUUUCCUAUUAGUUUCUUCUUUUUCUGUCUAUAAGAUUAUUUUUAUGUAAUUUUGAAUAGAUCUAAAUAUUGUUUUAGGAUGAAAAUGCAUUUUUGUUCUGUUCUGUUUUGAAGUUUGUAAAACCAUCCAAAGAUUAUAUAAUUGGGUGUUUAGACUGAGAUAAUAUUUAUCUCAAAUUGAUCGAUUCAUUUUCAUUUUCGUUUAGACUAAGAUUAUUUAUAACUAAGAUUAUUUUUUUCUUUUUCAGAUUUAUUAAAAGCAAAAUAUAAAAGCCAAGAAAGGUAUGUUGUAAUUUAUUUAAAUUUAUGAUUUUAUAUUUCAUUUGGCGAGUAAUGUUUUAUUCAAUUAUUUAGAAAUCAAAUAUUUUAUGAUAGUAAUUUUAUAUUAUUGCAUGCUUCCUUACAUUGUUAUAAUUAGUUAGAGUUAGUUAUUUUUUACAAGUUCCAAGACUUAAGACUUAAGAGUUUUAUGAUCAGAAAUGCAUUAUUUGUGUGAUAUUAUCUUAUUCUAAACAGGAUUCUGGUGACUCUGGACGUGAAGAACCUAGGGAUGAUGCAAAGAAGAAUUAUGUUGAACUUGUACUUGAUGAAUUUUUCAAGUAGGUUGGGUUUUUUCUUAUUACUACACUGUUUGUUUAGAUAUUUUGAAUCAUCAAUCAACAUUUAAUUUUUAGUAGUGGUUAUCAUCAUUUUAUUUUGGUUAUACUUAUAUAAAUCUUAACAGAUCCUUAUUUCCUGUUUAAUAGCUUGUUAGUUUCUUCACCUUCUCACGAUUUCCUUAUGAUUCAGGUAAUUCACGUUUUAAUUGAAGAUAUGUCUCGUCCCUCUUAUUGAAGGUGAUAAUUUUUGAUCCACAUAUAUGUAGAGGUUGAUUUCCUUGCAGUGUUUUUAGACCAUUUUACAGUUUAUAAAAUGCUAUAUGUCAGAGUAUUUGACUCCUUCACGUGAGUAAUUUACAAAACUGCUAAUAUAUUCUAUGAGUAAUUUUUUUAUUUAAAUUAUUUUUCUAUUUUUAUCAAUUUUAAAUGUUGAAUAUUUUGUUGUAUUCACAGAUUAUAAAUGGCUUAUAAGAAAAAGUUGGUUAAUAAGAAAAGAAUCAGACGAAGUCCUUAAGUUCCAACUCCAACACCAACUCCGACUCCUCAAGUUCCAAUGUUAUUUUAGAUUAUGAAUGUUACAAUGAAUGUUACAAUGAAUGUUAAUGAUGUUAUUAUGAUUUAUAACAUAUUUUGAAUGUUAGAUGAUUUUAAUCAUUAUAGUUGAAUGAAUUUAGGGAGUAAUAUUGAAUGUAAAUUAUGAAUGUCGGGAAAAAUAUAUAUACAGGAAUAUAUAUGCAUUCAGGAAUUUACAAAAAUUAUAAAUAUUGAAAUAAUUUAUAGGAAUAUUGGAAUAUAUAUACAUUUUGGAAUUAUUUUUUUUCCAAAAAAAUUUUCUAACGGAAAUUCCGUUACAAAUGAUAUUUUUUCAUUUUUCACGAAAUUUCUAACGGAAAUUCCGUUACAAAUACCUUAACUUUAACUUGAGAGUAUUUAUAACGGAUUUAAGUAUUUGCAACGGAAAUUUUGUAACGGACAAAAGUUAACGGAAAUUCCGUUAAAAAUAGUAUUUGUAACGGAAAUUCCGUUAACUUUGCUCGUCCUAACUGCCUACUUUUUUUUGUAGUGCUUGCACAACAACCACACCUUGAAACUGCAUUCUUACGUCGCUUGCCUAAUUUAGAAGGAUGUAAUAGAUCAACUGUUCCUUCUUUCGAACACAACAAUCGUCUCAUAACUAAAUUUUUUUUACCGUCAUCCUUACUGGUUUUAUAGUUAGUAGAACCUAAACGAACGGAGAAACCCAUUUUCGACGCAUAACCAUAAUAUUGAUCAAGAGCAUCAGAAUAUGAGGAAUAAAUUUGACCAAAAGUGAGUGAUGAAUUCAAUUUAGCAUUGUCUGAAGAAGAAUUGGUAUCAGUGGGUUGUUUGGGAACGAAAAAACUAGGAGAAGCAUUGACGGAAGAAGUAAUAGCAUUAGGUAGUCCAGUUCCAUCAUUAUUCUCAGAAGAAAUAAGAGUACGCAGAUUGUCUAAUGGAGUGUCAUGGUUUUGAUGAGGAACAUAAUUAGAAUUACGAAUAAGUGGGAAAUCAUUGAUUCUUAAACAUUGUACAUUACCAUGGGUUUCAUUAGGAUUACAAUCAGAUGGUUUUUCUGUUUGGAUAGAGUAAAAAUCGAGACUAACAUUACACUGAGGUCUAGAAUGCUGUGUGGGUGGAAUCAAUGGUUGGGCAUGGAGUGGACGAUAUGGGAGUGGUGUGAUAUAUAUAGAGGAGGAAUUAGGAGAGAAAUGAAUGGUGUUUUGAGGCUCAAUGUUAGGUUAUUGUAAGGGUGAUGAUUGAUCAAUAACAUUUAAUGAAUUUAGAGUCGACAUACCUUGAUGGAUGUCAAAGUCAUUUAAUGGUGAAAAGAUGGUAAGAAAAAACAAAAGGGUAAGACAAAAACAAGAAGAAUAGAAGCUUGCGUGGAAAAAAUAAAACGAAUAAAAAAAUUAAAAAUAAAAUAAAAAACUACACGUGGGUUGCGCGUGUUGCGGAAAAAAGUUUCACCGGUUACGAAGGGUGGGGAUUAUUUGUGUGAUUGGAAGGCUGAGAUGCCUUCGCAUUGUCAGCUGAUGCGAAGGCAUUCGCAGCUGAUUUAUUUUGCUAAUAUAUAUUUCAAUAGAGAUGAUUGGGUAUAUAUGAAUGAUGGUGAUUGACUGAUUGGAUAUGAUAUGACUAUUAGAAUACCAUGACGGUUGCGGAAAAAAAAUAUUGAAAGAGUCAAACAAAAAAUAAGAGUUUUUAUCUCUGCAAAAUUGCUGAACAAAUAAUAACAGAAUUUUAAGAGAAGAAACGUGUAAAAUGUUACGUGACGAAAAAAAAGAGGAUCCACUUCCAUGCAGAAUUACCAUCACCCAAGUGUUGAAUCUGAAGUUGAGUCUCAUUACCUAACUUAGCAGACCCGGAUCUCUGAUAUGGCAUCAGAGAUGAGAUUGACUGGACAUUUGGAAUAAAAUGAUCGAUGUAUCGCUCCAGUGUCCGGGUAUCAGGAUGCCAUGUCUUGUUGAUCUAGAUCACUUGUUGAAAAAUACGAGUCUGCCAUCUGAGUAUUGUUUGUAGUGGGCUGCCUAGGUAUUAAAUAAUUAGAAUGUUGUUUUUGGACUUGGGCUAGGUGAUACUGAGCUGAUUGCAUAUGUGAGCCCACAUUAUAUGGUGAGGCUGCAUUAUUUAUUUGUGAGUUCUCUUGGGCCGAAUUUGUGGUUUGGUAUGGGCUGACCCGAUAUUGACAUUUAUAUGAACUGUGGCCCAUAUCACCACAAACAGGACAAGGGUUCCUUAUUACUUGGGGAGCUUUUCCUCUCGACCGGCCUCUUCCGAUCCUGUCUUAAAGUAAAUAACAAUAUAUAUUCUCUAAUAUAUAUUUCAAUAGAGAUGAUCCGGUAUAUAUGAAUGUUGGUGAUUGACUGAUUGAAUUUGAUAUGACUAUUAGAAUACCAUGACGGUUGCGGAAAGACAUUAUUGACAGUCUAGCCGUCAAAAACUAAAAAAGAAAAAUUAGUAUUGCAGGCUGGUUAUUGACAAUCUAGUGGUCAGUAAUUACCCAUUAGAAAAAUACUAUUAUUUUAUAGUGACAGCAGACUGGUUUAUCUUAAUUUUAAUAAUAUAAUAUUAUAUCGUUAAUUUUAAUGUUAUGACUUAUUCUAUAAUACAAAUAUUAUCCGGGUGAUUUCUUAGUGUUAAUAAUAAAAUAAAAUAUUAUAUUGGAUUGGAUUUGAAUAUUAUAUCUGUGAUUAGGGGUGGACGUGGGCGAGUUAAACCAGAACAUGUUGUGUACGGAUUCAGGUGUAUAUUUUCGACCAUGGAACACGAUAUGAAAAACUUGAACCCGAGUUUUUUCAUCCGAUUUUUUCGAAUCGGGUUCAGGUAAACUCGAACCAAACUCGAUGCACCCAAAUUUUUUAUAAAAAAACUUUAAAAUAUAAAUAAAAUUUUAUUUUAUAUAAAAUAUUUUAUAAAAAUUUAAUAUAUACAUUUAAUAAAUUUCCUUUCUUCUUCUAAAAUUUAUUCCCUAAUAUUAUUAUCGAUUUCAACUUCUCUCUUAUCGCCGUACUCAUCGUAGUCGCCCGAUACAUCUUCACAUUUGAAUCUUCACAUUAUUUAAUAAUUAUUUGAUAUUUUAUCUUAUUUAAGAUUUUAAAAAUUAUUCGAUAAAAUUAUUUAAAUAACAAGAUUUUUUAUAUAAAUUUUUAAAAAAAAAUUAUUAAACCGGAACUGACAUCCAAAGUUAAGGUUUUAUAAUUUUAAAAAAUUCGAUUAGUGUGAUGAUAGGAGUUAUCAGGAUAAACCUAACAAUGAAUACGAAUAAACAUAACGAUGAAGAUUAAGAAUAUACUGAACAUAAUGAUAAAAAUCAGCUGCUGAUUCACAGAUGAUUAAAGUAGAAAGGUGUUAAAAAAAAUUCAAACUUUGCACCAGAGGUCCAAAACGAACAAUCCGGGAAUUUCUAAUCGAUCUCAGAUUAUCUCCCGUAUUUUUUCUUCCUUGAAUCGCCAUCAUUAUCAUCAUCGACAACAUCAUAAUCAUCAUUAUAGCUAUCAUCGUCUAGGGUCCCAAUCCAAUUAAUGCUGAGUCGUUUGAUCAUGUAUCGUAGAGAUUAAAGUAGAAAGGUGUUAAAAAAAUUUCAAACUUUGCACCAGACCGAACAAUCCGGGAAUUUCUGUUCGAUCUUAGAUUGUCCCCGGUGUUUUUUCUUCCUUGAAUCGCCAUCAUUAUCAUCAUCGUCAUCAUCAACAAUAUCAUAAUCAUCAUUAAUGCUAUCAUCGUCUAGAGUGUAUUAAUUAGGUGAGUUGUGGUACCAAUUUUACCAACCGAGAUGCAGGUUCGAUAAAUGAAGAAGAGAAGUUUGAUACAGGUAGAGAGGGAUCCAUUUCUGUAAAUAGAAGGGCACCGGAACGCGGGAUGGAGUUGGUUGACGUGAUAAACUCCAGGUUCCUGGAGCAUAUACCGGUGGAUUGGAUCGUUGUGAUGUUGGCAUUUGGUGGUUUGGUGAUUCUAAAAUAUUUCAUCUUCUUCCUGAGAUGGAUCUACGUCUACUUUCUGAGACCAUGUAAAGAUUUGAAGAGAGUUUACGGUUCAUGGGCAAUCGUCACUGGUAGCACUGAUGGUAUCGGAAGAGCCAUGGCUUUAGAAUUGGGUCGGAAAGGAAUGAAUCUGGUACUCAUCGGACGGAAUCCUGGUAAAUUAAAAGCAGUCUCCGACGAGAUCCUGACCGGAGAAUAUUGUCGUGGUUCUAAAGACAAGGACAGCAUACGUGUGAAAACAGUCGUGUUUGACAUGUCCGGCGACCUAAUCGAAGGAAUAGCUCUGGUCGGAGAAGCAAUCAAAGGGCUGGACGUGGGAGUUUUGGUCAACAACGCCGGAUUGGCCAACUCAGACGGUAUUUUCUUUCAUGAAGGGAGAUUAGAGCUAUGGAGGGAGAUUGUGAAGAUUAACGUAGAAGCUAUGACAAUGGUGAGUAAAGUUGUUAUUGAUGGAAUGAUAGAAAGAGGGAGAGGAGCCAUAGUUAACAUCGGCUCCGGAUGCACUGUCGUCGGUAGCUUUCCUCUGUUCGCCGUUUACUGUGCUACCAAAGGGUAAGAUAUCUGACUGUUGAUCACUCAUUUUACCAUUAAAAACAGAGCUACAUCCACUGAUUUCAAAAACCGUGGUUAAUUGUUCGAUAAUAUAGCCAUGAACUUUUUAUUCAUGACUAAGGUUGUGGCUAUUUUGAAAAUUUAGCCACAUAUUCUACUAUCUGUAGCUACUUUGGUGGCUAAAUUUCUCGGGAAAAUUUCCUUCCAUUUUGGCGGUGGCUUUUCCUUCUUUUACUGUUUUAACAAUUAGCCAUGACGUACCACUAAAUAAAAUACUCAUUGAUCAUGGUUAAUAUUUAGCCACGGAUAAUUAAUUUCGUAGCUAAAAAACAUUAGCCACCAGACGUACGCCCAAGACCCUUCCCGUGGCUAAAUUCAUGAUGUAGUCACAUAUUUGAUCAAAGGGCCACUGAUCCAAAUCAGUGGCCCUUUGAUCCAAAUCACAUGAUCCAAAUCUCGAGAACCAAAAAAUAAUCACAUAGAUCAAAAUGGAUGACUUAAUUUACAGGUAUGUGGAGCACUUUUCGAGAAGCCUCCAUGCAGAGUAUAAAAGGAGUGGUAUUGAUGUUCAGUGUCAGGUAAUUGAAAAUUAAGAAACGAAAUAUAUUUUUUUGAAAGUAACAUUUUUAGUAGUAAACUUAUGAAAUUUUGUACCAAAAAUCGUACAUUUUUUAGUUUAUUUCAAUUGAAUUUCUACUAAUUUUAAUUACUUUGCUUGAUCUCUAUGUAGGCACCUUUCUAUGUAUAUACAAAUAUGACGGCAAAAUAUCAAAAAACGUCAUUCUUUGUGCCAUCUCCUGAGAGAUACGCCAAAGCCGCGGUGUCGUGGAUCGGAUACGAUAGCGUCUGCAUCCCAUAUAUCAAUCAUUCCCUUCAAGCUUUUAUACUUUCGAUUCUACCGGAGUUCGUAAUCAACGCAUAUCUUAUGCGUGUUGGAAUGAGGUUUGACACUCUAAAAAGGAACAAUAAUUAACACACAAGGAGAUUAUAAAGGGUCACAAUACCUACUAAGGUUUCUGAGUGUUCAAAGUUUUAUCAAUACCUACUAAGGUUUAUGAGUGUUCAAAGUUUUAUCAAUACAUACUAAGGUUUCUGAGUGUUCAAAGUUUUAUCAGUUAUAUAAUAUGUGGUUAUAAUAUAUAAUUAAAAGUUGGAUAUUAAUUUAUUUGGUACUAUGGAAAGGAAACAUUUGAUCACAAUAUUUUUUUUCCCAUAAAUGUACAUCUUGAGACUACACAAUGUAGUUUAAAAAAUAAGUAUUGUACUACAAUGUAUUUCUUAUAAAUGGUCUAGAUUCUCUCUAAGUUUCACCCUUAGGAGUAUUUAUACAGUCACUCUUGGGUUCGGAAUCUUCAUAGACCGGGCCUAUCCUGAUGGUCCCAAUCUGUUGGACCGGGGGGGGUAUCAUAUAGGCCUAGGGGUGAGAACGGGGCGGUUCCCCCGAUAACGUUUCGUUCCGCGUCCCAGUAGUAACCGGGGUUGGGGCCAGGUGAACCUUGUCCUAUUUUUAACUUUUGACCCGAUGCCCCGGUCAUAUUCCGAGGCGGGUCUUGGGGCAAGGUGAGCCCCAGCCGGUUUUGCCCCGGUUUUUAAAUAAAUUAUUUUUUAAUAAAUUAUAUUAUAUUAGAUAUAGGACUAUUAGAAUUAGAAAUUUUAUACAUUUUUAAGUUUAAGCCUUAACUUUUAAACUUUAUGUCUAUUUUAGAUUUACCUUUUUGUUUUUACUUUUAAGAAUUAAGGUAAAAAAGUUACCCAUUUUAAAUUUUAUACUUAGUUUUUUAAUUAUUUUUUAAAAUUUGAAUUAAUUUUUUUUUUUUUUAAUUAUUUUUUAAUAAUUCCAGGCAGGUCGCCCUAGGCACCUGGUCCGAGACAGGGGAUCAUAGUACAUGACCCGCCUCGUUCUGGUAGAACGGGAUUGAUACCGAGGCAAGACUGCCCCGCCCGUGACACGCCCCGUUCUCACCACUAUCAAAGUCUGAUAAUUCGUGUAACACGACGCGACCGAUUGAAUCCGUGUCAACACGACGAAUUGUAAUAAUUAUUUUAUUAUUAAAAUAAUUAUUAACUAAGGGUAUAUAUAUUUUAUUAUUUUAACUCUAUUACAUAGUUAUCAUUUUAUACCUAAUAUUUUAUGGGUAUAAUAUUUUAUAAAGAACUUAAAGGAUUUUACAUAAAAAUAUUAUUUUACCUUUAUUACAUAAACGAUAACCAUAAAUAAUUAAUAAUAUUAUAUUAUAUUUUUCAUGUUAUCGUGUCGUGUUGUGUCAACUUACGUUUCUAGUAAUCGAGUUGUGUUUUUAAAACGACGACACUAUUAUUAAUCGUGUUAAAACUUUCAACACAAACCCGACACUAUUUUGAACCAGCUGCGAAUUCAGGAAUUUUUUCUUUUUUAAUUUUUGACGGCUAGACUGUCAUGGUAUUCUUGUUUGACUCUUUCAAUAUUUUUUUUCCGCAACCGUCAUGGUAUUCUAAUAGUCAUAUCAAAUUCAAUCAGUCAAUCACCAUCAUUCAUAUAUACCCGAUCAUCUCUAUUGAAAUAUAUAUUAGAGAAUAUAUAUUGUUAUUUACUUUAAGACGGGAUCGGAAGAGGGCGGUCGAGAGGAAGAGCUCCCCAAGUAAUAAGGAACCCUUGUCCUGUUUGUGGUGGUAUGGGCCACAGUUCAUAUAAAUGUCAAUAUCGGGUCAGCCCAUACCAAACCACAAAUUCGGCCCAAGAGAACUCACAAAUAAAUAAUGCAGCCUCACCAUAUAAUGUGGGCUCACAUAUGCAAUCAGCCCAGUAUCACCUAGCCCAAGUCCAAAAACAACAUUCUAAUUAUUUAAUACCUAGGCAGCCCACUACAAACAAUACUCAGAUGGCAGACUCGUAUUUUUCAACAAGUGAUUUAGAUCAACAUGACAUGGCAGCCUGAUACCCGCACACUGGAGCGACACAUCGAUCAUUUUACUCCAAAUGUCAAGUCAAUCUCAUCUCUGAUGUCGUAUUAGAGACCCGGAUCUGCUAAGUUAGGUAAUGAGACUCAACUUCAGAUUCAACACUUGGGUGAUGGUAAUUCUGCAUGCAAGUGGAUCCUCUCCUUUUCGUUACUUAAUAUUUUACACGUUUCUUCUCUUAAAACUCUUUUAUUAUUUGUUCAGCAAUUUUGCAGAGAUAAUAACUGUUAUUUUUUGUUUGACUCUUUCCAUGUCUUUGUGAAUGACCGAAUUACUCACAAGGUACUCUUUCAAAGACCCUAUAGGGUAAAAACCCUAUAGAAACCCUAUAGAAGCAUUUAACAGAAGUAGUUUGUACUUUGUACGAUUCUGUCUCAACUUGUAAUUUGUUUUUUGUUGGUACCAUGGACCGCUCCAUGGACCGAACUGGCCACCCUACGAGCCCCAGUGCCCGAACGGGCUGGACGGCCAAAGGCCCACGAGGCCCAAGAGCCGUUGGAGUAAAUGACUAUAAAUACUCCCCCUAGUCCGCGAGGGGGAUAGGCUGACAAUUUUAGAGAGUGAACACUUGAGAGAGUUGAGGUGGGAAGCUUGCACCAACGAGCCCACACAUCAACAGUGGUGAACCUGACGUGAACUUGAAUACACCAGCCAGCGCGAAGGAGGAAGAUGACGACGGGGAGCGAAUUUCGCAGGAGGGGAGCUCAAGGGAUGGACGCUACAAGCCGCUGAGAACCCCCGACGCGAGGAGACAGGCAGAACCGGAUGCGGAGGAGUACUGGCCGGCAUCGCUCCACGGGCGGGACCGGCACAAGGAGGAAUAGAGAGCCCAGAAGGAAAGGUUGCGCAUGGAGAUGGAGGAGAUGAGGUACGGGAGGGACUCGGCCAGGGGAAGCAAACGAAGCGGGCCCCUAUCCCCACCAAGGGAGAGAAGGCCGAGCAGGUCCCGAUCCCCCGUGAAGAGGAGAAAGGAUAAGGAGUACGAGAAGCUCUGCCGGAAGGAGCGCAUGGAGAAGAGGGGGGAUAGGGGCAGGCGAAAAACCAACAGAUCCGAUGGAGGCCAGAAAGCUGAGAAACAGAGCGGCAUGGUUCGCAGUGGCCCAAGGCAAGCUAUACCGCCGCUCGGCGGCGGAAGAGGCCUCCCUCCGGCUAUGCGUCUCGCGGAAGGACGGCAAGGCCGUCGCACGAAGCAUCCACGAGGGGGCGAGCGGGGCACACCAAGGCGGACGGGCGCUAGAGAGGCAAGUGGCCAGGCAAGGCUACUAUUGGUCCGAGUCAAUAAAGGACUCGGAAGAAAUAGUGGACCGGUGCGACGAGUGCCAGCGACACUCGAACAUCCAGAGACGGUUGUCCACUAUGAUGAAGGCAGUAACGACGCCCGUCCCGUUCACACGAUGGGGAAUCGAUAUCGUGGGCCCUUUCCCGCCGGUGUCGAGAGAAGGAAGUUCCUUUUCGUGGCAGUGGACUACUUCACAAAAUAGGCUGAGGCGGAGGCCACGAACACGAUGACCGAGCAGAACGUGGUGAACUUCGUCUUCAGAAGUAUCGUAUGCCGGUUCGGAAUUCCGAUCCAAAUAAUAACGGACAACGGGACGCAGUUCACAGGGAGGAAGCUGAGGGAAUUCUGCGAGGACAGCGGGAUCAAGCUAAUUAAGCUUCGCGCCGGUAUACCACCUGUAGGCAAACGGGCAGGUAGAAGUGACAAACCGAACCAUUGUCUCCAUCUUGAAAAGAAAAGUGGGCGAGUACCUGGACAAGAUCCCGGAAACUAUGUGGGCGUACCGCACAACCAUCCGAACCCCCACGGGCCAAACACCUUUCGCUCUCGCAUUCCGAAUCGAAGCGGUGGCGCCAGCCAAGCUCGUAUGGCCGACAGCCAGGAUCGAGCAGUUCCAACCGGGAACGAACGACAGAGCAAUGCUCCUGGAGAGCGAGUGCGUGAAGAUACGGAGAGAGGAGGCCACCAUCAGGGACCUCACGUACAAGCGAAGGGUGGCAAGGUAUCAUAUUGAGAGGGUAGCCGAGAAGAACCUGGCUCCAGGCGACCUGGUGCUAAGGAAUGCCAGAGUAACGGGAGUAGACCAUACGAAGGGGAAGCUCUCGGCAAGAUGGGAAGGCCCGAACGUCAUCAUAGACGAGGUCCACCCGGGCAUCUUCCGCCUGGGUUACGAAGACGGGCAAGAGAUAGAAAGGACGUGGCACGCUGACAACUUGGAAAAGUAUAAGCGUUGAAGACCGAGACGUCGCCCCGCCUUCUCCCUUUUCCCUUUUCAUGUCGUUAUAUUUUUUUCCCCUCCAACCAAGGCACGCGAUGCCAAAUGAGAAGCACCCGAAGCGUCCAUUUAUCUUUUAAAGGCUUUCUUUUUCGUUACUGUCACGUGCCCCAAAGACCGAAGAGUGGGGCAAAAGAGGGGAAGGAAAAUAACGCGAAUCGGAAACGAUAGGCAAAAAGGGGGCCCGCCGAAAAGGCCGGUCGAAGGUUCCUAAGGUCAGAAGACCACGCGGGAACGUUCGGUCGGCCCAGACCGCCCCUAGAGGGAAACGAGCAAUUAGUAAGAACACGAAACAUUGCAAAGAAAAGGAAAGUCUUCAUUAAAAAAAAAAACUAAUUAUGUAGGUACAAAAAAAAAAGAGGAAAAAAUGGCUAACCACAAGGACCGGCUAGUCGAAGGUAAGCGGAUCAACGUAUUCGGGGAAGUCAGCUUCGAGAUCCUCCUCCUCGCCUUUGCUCACGUCCAAGGGGGGUUGGCAGUCAGGACCGCCCGUCACCUUCCACUAUUCCCAGUCGCGAGUGCUCCGAGGCAUCACGACGUCCGCGAGAGAGGGGAGAGCAAGAGUGCACAUGGCCCGCCCAUGAACGUAGCCCUUCCAGAAACAGGCACGUUUCGCGUCCUUGUACUCGAUGGCAUGGUCAGCUUGAUCACGGCCCUGCUGCAAGCGAACCUUGGAGAGAAUGGACAGUUGGAGUAGCUGGUAAUGGAGGUCCUGGUUGAGGUCCGACGGCGCGCGGGCGAACUACGACACGUAUCCUCCUCUUGCAGCAACCAGGAGUUAACGUUGAAAAGCCGGUUCCGAAGAAUCCCCAGGGCACGAGGAAGGGACGAAGAUGGAUCGACCACGGCGGCGAGUUCAGACAAACGCCCGCAGGACUCUACGAAGGUCUUGAAGAGCUCGGGGUCCAGACCGUCAGACUCGAGUACACGCAACACCUCAUUCGAAGCCUCAGCAGAAGGAGGUGUACGUGGCAUGGACCGGGGACUUCCCAGCUUUUUCUUCUCGGCUCGCAUUUUUUUCCUCUGUCGCCUCUCGAUCCGGGUAUGUUUGAGGGCGACUUCAGGCUCGGACUCAGGCAGCAGGGACAGUGGAGGCGAAGGCGUCAGAAACACGGUCUCAGUGGCCGAACGCUUCUUACCGGCCGCACGCUUCGAUGGGCCAUCGCGGGUAUAGUCCGUCCGGAUGAACUUCUGCAGAUGGUCGCCAUAAGACCAAUUUGUAACCAACUCCCGGGCGCUGACGGAGCCGCGGCGAUAGACCUUGAUCAACACCUCGUGUGCGCGCGACUGUGGGCCGUCCAGGUCAGACAUGAGCGGAGGGGUGGUGCGAGUCUUUAGCUGCGAGAGAAGCCCCCAAUGAGGUGGCGGCGGUGAUUCGAGAUCAAUCGGGUCCAGGGUGUCCACCGGCACGAAGAAAAAACGGUCGCGCCAGUUGUGGGACCGAUCAGCCAAAUGAUCGAACAGGGGAAACCCCCCGCGCUGGCUGAUCAGCAUGCGUCGGGGAUCCUGAGGCAUGGUCAUUAUCUGGAACCAUAUCCGGAAGACAGCCAGAGAAGCUUCGAUCCCGCACCGUCGGCAAAGCAGCGAGAAAGUCAGUAGCCGGUCGACGGAAGCCGGAGGAAGCUGGGAGAAAGAAACUCUGCAGAAGCGCACCGCCUCGCACAAGAGGGGGGAUAGGGGUAGCUUAAGGCCGCAGUCGGCAUAGGAGGAGUACAGGGCCACCAUGCCCUCCGGCGGAGAGGAGGCACGCCUCCUCUCCGCCGUGCCUCCUCUCCGCCGGAGAGUCGCGGACGAGGGUCCCCAGAGAGACCCUGGGCGUCCGUAAGCGCAAGUCAACAGAACCGAACGGAGCGGCUAGCGAAACCGAGUAACAAGCGGGAGAUCCCAGAACGGGGCACGGGGAAGGACGGGCCAGGCAAUAGGGGGGGGGACGGAAGAACCGUCAGCGAACCAAAAGACGAGCGAAACUCGAGGAGGGCCCGGGCGACGUCGACGACAGACGUCGAAUAGCAGAAAACUGCAUCAACACGAAAAUGAAGAAAACAACAACAGAAUCAAAAUACUAGGACAGCCGAAAGCGAAAAGUGCAACGUCAUACUAACGGACAAAAAGUACAGGGGCCAAUAAUACAACAAAGGCCAAAAUUUUAAACAAGUUACAAGAAUAACAAAAGCAUAAAAGCAAAAUACGUCAGGGCACCCUGAACACCACGCCCGCGAGAGACCAGGGAGCGGGCGAAGCGUCACCCGAAGGCAACCUCGUUGGCCGAAAGAGCCCUAGGAGCGGGCGCGAAUCGUCUUAGGGCGGGCCUAGGGGACCCCGACAAAAAGUGGCGCAGGUCAGUAGCCGGGAGGGACGAGACCCACGAUGGCCGCGCGACCGACGGCGGCGGCUGACAAUUCCUUCCGGAGCGACAGCAGGAGCGGCGGAAACUCGACAGAACGCCACCAACAGGAGCAGCGGCGGGAGCCGGCCCCGGGGACCGAGACAUCGGCAGGAAGGUCGGUACGGCGCAGCCGGGAGAGACGGCGGUGAAUGUCUAUUAGCACAGAGUUGAGUCGCUGAGUCUCCGCCACAGCCACGGUGUUGGACUUGCCAGCGGGCGUCAGCAGGCACGCGGUCUACGCAGCAUGCUGGAAUUUUGUUCCAACUUGUUUUAUCAAUAUUUUUCCUUGAUUGAUCAUCUCUCUUAUGAAAUGACAAUCUAUCUCUAUAUGUUUGGUUCUUUCAUGGAACACUGGGUUAUUUACCAGAUAGAUGGUUGAUUUAUUGUCACAGAACAAGACAGUUGACUUUUUAACUUUAAUUUUCAACUCAUACAUCAAUUGAUGGAUCCAUGUUAUCUCACAAGCUGUUUGAGCAAUUGCUCUAUACUCAGCUUCACAAGAUGAUCUUGUCACUGUAACUUGCUUCUUAGUCUUCCAUGAGAUCAGUGAAUCUCCCAACAUUAUGCAAAAAUCAGUUAAGGACUUCCUACUGACUUGGCAUGAUGCCCAAUCAGCAUCACAAUAUCCUUGAAUGGUUUGGUUUUCAGUUUUGUUAUAUAUUAACCCUUGACCAGGUGCACCUUUGAUGUAUCUAAUCAACUUGAAUAGAACUUUAAGGUGUAUCUCUCUUGGCUCAUGCAUGAAUUAGUGUCAUGAUGUGAUUUUAAUUACUCUAAUUUUUUGCGUAAAGGUCAAUCAAUUUUUAAAUAGAUGUGAUGAUGUUCGGUAAGCCUGUAAAUAGUAUAUCGAAAUCCACAUUCGAAUCUUCAUUCGAAUUUGGAUUUUCGGAUUUGGAUUCGGAUACCAAAAUUGAUAUCCGAAUUUUAUUCGAACGGAUUCGAAUAUCCGGAAAAUCCGUCGUUAAAAUUCGAAUUCGUUUAAAAAUUUCGGAUUCGAAUAUUCAGAUAUUCGAAUAAAUAUAAAUUGACUUUUGGAUAUCCGAAUUUUAAGAUGAUUAAUUGAUUAUUAAUUAACUUUAUUAAUGGUUAUUAGAGAUACACCCCUACGUUAAAUAAUAUCACAAAUAUAACAUUAUAAUAAAUAUUACACUCACCCCCUUUUAUUUAAUCAUAACUCUUCAUAUUCCAUUAUUUAUAUUUCCAUAUAUCAUAUUAUUCCAUAUUCCCAUAAUCAUUAAUUACUAUAAUUAAACACACCCAACCAAUUGGGUGUUCUUCUAUAUAAACACACCUAGACUUCAUCCAAAAAUAAACAAUCACACACUCUGUAAUCACAAUUACAUUCACUGUUUGAUUACUACGAUCUUCAACUUUCACAGUCUUCAAACGCUUACGCAACACACCAGUUGAAUCACAGAUUCACCACUCAAUUCAUCUUCAAUUCAUUCCAACAAAGCUGAGGAUUAUCGCUUCAUCAAUCCUUGAUCAAUCGAUCAUCCUACAGUAUCACUUUACAUUCAUUAUCAUUAUCAAUAUUAUUGCACAUAUAUUGAUCAACAUUCAUUUCAUCCAUUCCUUCUUCAAAUAUCAUAUAUAUUUAUAUUUGCAUAUCAAAUAUUACUUCUAUCAUGGUAUCAGAGCAGGAUAAAUCCUGAUCUCCAAUAUUCAAUAUUUUUCUUCUCAAAAAGGAAAGUAUUUUUUGUUUCUAUUUCUAUUUUUCUUUCAAAGGAAAGAAACUUUUGCCUCGCCAAAAAGGGCAACCAACACAAAAAGACACAAAAAAAGGCAGAUCAGAUCAAAACUCAGACAAUUCUAUUUCUCCAGAUAUUGUCAAAGAAUUCCUUGGGAGGACAAGGAGGAAGUGGAAUCUCCACAGCAAGAACACCAUUUGCCUUCUCCCCUUCAGAAUUCAAGCCCACCUCUGGAUCACUCCACAUUUCAUACUCAACAACAUCAUCACUGUCAUAGUCAUAAUCAAAGAGCUCACACACCUCUCCAGCCCAGAGUUCAUCAUUCUUACUUGUCCCACUCUCAAACACAAGAGGCUCUUCAUACUCAGAAUCAGAAGAAGAGUACAAAUCUUCUACAUCACCAAAAUACUCCAGGGCCUCAACAUUCAUCCCCUGCUUCCUCAGCUCCCUCAUCUGUCUGAGAUUUUUUGUGUGCCUUCUUAUCAACCUUCUUUCUCUCCUCUCAGCUUUAUCUGCAGAUGGAAACAAAGAAUGAUGAGUUCAAAAUAAAAGAUGGAAGCCCAUAUUAUAUAUCAGGGAGCGACAACCCAAAUUCAAGUCUGGUAGUAACUCCAAUCAGUGGACCAAACUAUCAAACCUGGGUAGUUAAGGUCCAAAGACCCCUAUCCACCAAAAACAAGUUAGGAUUCAUAAAUGGAUCCGUCACAAAACCAAAUGAUAACACAGACAAUUACCUCAUACCCUGGAUCAGAUGCAAUGAUCUGGUCACUGCUUGGAUUCUAAAUAGCUGCUCUAAAGAAAUCAGUAGCAGCACAAUAUUCAUAAAGGAUGUUGCUACUCUAUGGGAGAAUCUGAAGCAAAAAUACAGCAGAGGAAACUCACUAGUUAUUUCCCAACUCAAAAGGCAAAUUGCUCUGUGCACUCAAAGUAAUGAGUCUGUAAGAAAUUUUUAUGCUAAACUGCAGGGACUCUGGAAUGAGUUAGACAACAACCAGAUCUUUGAAUGCUGCAACAAUCUCAAUUGCAUAGCCAAAGAAAAUCUGGAAAAACUAAUCACUUUCACCACUGGCCUCAAUGACACAUAUUUGUCAAUCAGGGGGCAAAUAUUAAAGAAGAAAACACCAUCCUCAGUAGAUGAUGCUUUCAGAAUGGUUCUCGAAGAAGAAACUCAAAGAGAGUGCAUCUACCCUGAGGAAGGGAGUGUCAUGGUGACACAAACCAGAAACUUCACACCCAAGCAAAAACACAAACUCAAAGUGAAGACUCCAAGCCUUACUGUACUAGAUGCAAGAAGCAUAACCACAGCUUGGAAACAUGCUUCUAUGAACAUGGUUUUCCAUGAGGACAUGGGCUUCAUGGAGUAGACUUCAACAAGAAGAAAGAAAACACAACAAAAUUUAAUGGAAAAAAGGGCUUCAAUGGGAAGCCCAACAAAGGAUACAAGGGAAAACAUCAAAGCAACAAUGCCAACACACAAUCAGAGAUGAUGGCCAAAAUUCAAGUGAUGACAAAACUGAAAACAAAUUCAUCACCAGAGAAGAGCUCAUAAACAUACUGGGAGGAAUCUCUAAAAGGGAACGAGAGUCAAGCUCACAUGGCUUCUGGAAGCUCAUCUGGUAAAUCCUAUUUAAAAAAUAAUACAUAUUUUCAUUACUCACUAAACUCAUACACGAUGCCACAUACUGAACCAGAAAAUGAUCAAUGAAUCAUUGACACAGGGGCAACAAAUCAUAUGUGUUCCCCCAACACCCCCUUACACAAUGUCAAAACACUAUUGUAUCCAAUAAGCAUUCACCUCCCAAACUCCUAAACCACUAGAGUAUCAUCAAGUGGUUUUAUAUCCCUAUCAAAAGACAUCACCCUACAUAAUGUCUUAAAAAUACCAUCCUUCUCAGUAAACCUACUAUCUGUAAGCAAAUUAACAAAAGACAUAAAUUGAUUAUUCACCUUCCACCCUACUUUCUGUUCCAUACAGGAUCAGCAGGGAAACCAGAUUGGUGGUGGUGAGAAGAAAGAUGGCUUAUACAUCCUGAAGCUAAAAUCAUCCCAGGCCAACCACAGCCAACAAAAAGAAUCAAAGGAUGAGGAAAUCUGGCAUCAAAGACUAGGACACCCUACACCUUCUAGAUUUUAUCUUUUACAUUUACUGAACAAAUGUAUUCCUAAAAGUUUUUGAAAAUUUUGUAAUACAUGUCCUUUGUCAAAACAGACAAGAUUAUCCUUUAACUUAAGCACAAACAAAACUACUAAGUGUUUUCAGCUAAUUCAUCUAGAUAUUUAAGGAAAAUAUCACACACCCACAUACCAAGGAAACAACUAUUUCCUAACCAUAGUGGAAUUUACUCAAGGGCCACUUGGGCCUUUUUAAUGACAAACAAAGCUGAAACACUAGGUAAAUUCAAACAAUUUAUAUUGGAUGUUAAAAACCAACAUCAAGCAAACAUUCAGACUAUAAGAACAGACAAUGGAACAGAGUUCCUAUCUAAAGAAUUUCAAAAUGUUUUAAAAAUAAAUGGCAUAGCACAUCAGUUAUCAUGCCCCUAUACUCCUCAACAAAAUGGAAGAGUUGAGAGAAAACACCAACAUAUACUACAAGUGGCUAGGUCACUCAUGAUUCAAUCCAACAUUCCCCUAAGAUGCUGGAGAGAAUGCAUCCUAACAGUUGUUUUUCUAAUAAACAGAACCCCAGCUGUUGUUUUGGACAAUGAUACUCCUUACCACAAAUUAUUCAAUGAACAACCAAAUCUCUUCAUUAUAAGAGUAUUUGGAUGUCUUUGCUAUGUGAUGAAGCACGGAAUCUGCUACCAGUAGGCUCGCGGGGUUGCGAGGAGAGCAGGAGGUUUUGGAGUCCACGACGCGCGCUCUACGUCAAUGUACCUGUAGAAGUGGAGGGGAAUCGGCGACUCUCUUGGGAGUAGGCGAUUCGAGCUCCUUGGAUUGCUCUGGUGUGGUGUGGUCAAGUGGGAAUGACUUGGGAGUAGAGGACCCCCAAGGUCCCUUUUUAUAGGGUCCUAGGGGACGUUUCCCCAUUCAUUAGCGUAGGGCCCACCCCAUUAUGGUGCUCUAUUGAAGGGUGCCAUAAUGACGUGGGCCCUCCCAAGUAACGGUUGGGAAUCGGCGACUCAGGUAUAGGAGUCGCCGAUUCAGAGGUGGAGUCGCCGACUCCCCAUGAGCCAGGUUGGCAGUCUACCAGAACUGGUCACGAGGCCUGGAGUCGGCGAUUCACCCCUGGAGUCGGCGACUUGGUAGUCCCAGUCGGCGAUUCCCAGGUGCUUCCUUGAGUACUUGACGUAGACACUUCCUCCGCAUUUGUGGAACUCUCCGGGGGUCCGGCAUAAAGCGACGGAACCCUGGUCCUUGUCGAAGGACGUUGCUGGGAGUGACUGACGUAAUCAGGCAUGUCUCACCAGUACUACCCCCCCUGAAGAGAACAUGGAAAAACACGCGUGUACCGCCAAUAUCCCCCCCCAAGCAAGGUGAUCCGCAUCAAGGCCAAAGCGACAAGAUGGGAUGGAGUCAUUGCGCUCACAGCGACACAAAUGACUCUGCAUGGUCCAUGCACUAUCAGAUGGACUGAUUCACUAUCAGAAUCUAGUUCCAGGCCAACGGAACUACAUGUUUAUAGUCCAACUCUUAUCAGGAGCAACUUUUGCUGUGGAUUCUGGCCGAAGCGACAGAAUGCGUGGAUUCAGUGUUAGAAUCUGAUUCUGGCCGAAGCAACAAAAUGCGUGGAUUCACUAUUAGAAUCGGGUUCUGGCCGAAGCGAUAGAAUGUGUGGAUUCUGGCCAAAGCGACAGAAUGCGUGGAUUCUGGCCGAAGCGACAGAAUCUAGUUCACUAUCAGAACUGAUGUUUAUAGUCCACCCUGAUCAAGAGCGACUUUACGUCCGCAACGACGGUUACCCCAUAGGCCAAAGCGCAAGAUGGGUCGAGAUCAUUAAGGCCGAAGCGACAAAAUGAUCUCCAAGUGUUGAAGAAUUAUUGAAGCCAAAGCGACAACAUAAUUCUUGGUCCAUUAAGGCCAAAGCGACAAAAUCGAUCUGAAUCUAUUAAGGCCAAAGCGACAAAAUAGAUCCGAUUCUGGCCGAAGCGACAGAAUCAUUCCUGCAAAGCAACUAUAUCAGUCUAAAGGAUAUAUUUAUUGAUUUAUUGACCUUGCCGUGUGGAGCUGCCUCUCAUGCUGCUCCUCCUUAUGCUCAAUAAAUCCUUGAUUGAUCUGGCCGAAGCGACAGAUCUAUCAUGCUCAAAAAUGUGACAGCUUCUUGCCGAAGCGACAGAAGUGCUGGGAGAACUUGUGUUACUCCCCUUGGAUUUCGACGACUUCUGGCCGAAGCGACAGAAGUGUCGGGAAGAGCUUGUGAUACUCCCCCCUUGAGAUCAUUAAGGCCGAAGCGUCAAAAUGACCUCUGGUCUAUCAAGGCCGAAGCGAAGAGAUAGACCGACUCACUAUUAGAGUCUGACUCACUAUCAGAGUCUGGUUCACUAUUAGAAUUUGGUUCACUAUUAGAACCUUUCCUGCAAAAAAGAAAACAUCCUGCAAAACAACUAGAUCAGUCCAAAAACGCAUUUUUAACUUAUUGAACUUACCGUGUGAUUUUACCUUCCUUGAUGCCUCUUCUUUGCUCAAUAAAUCCUUGGUAAAUCUGGCCAAAGCGACAGAUUUUACCGUGCUCAAUUUUUGACGACUUCUGGCCAGAGCGACAGAAGUGUCGGGAGAGCUUGUGAUACUCCCCCGAAAUUUGACGACUUCUCGCCGAAGCGACAGAAGUGUCGGGAGAGCUUAUGAUACUCCCCCUCGAAAUGUGACGACUUCUGGCCGAAGCAACAGAAGCGUCGAGAGUACUUGUGAUAUUCCACAUUGAAAAUGUGACGACUUCUGGCCGAAGCGAUAGAAGUGUCGGGAGUACUUGUGAUACUCUCCAUUGAAAAUGUGACGACUUCUGGCCGAAGCGACAGAAGUGUCGGGAUUACUUUUGAUACUCACUAUUGAAAUGUGACGACUUCUAUCCAAAUUGACAGAAGUGUCGGGAGAGUUUGUGAUACUCCCCCCAAAAUUUAACCACUUCUAUCCAAAUUGACAGAAGUGUCGGGAGAGUUUGUGAUACUCCCCCUCGAAAUUUGACGUCUUCUGACCGAAGCGACAAAAGUGUCGGGAGAGAGAGUUUGUGAUACUCCCCCUUGAAGUGAUUGUUAAUGGGCUAUCUUUUGUUUUAUUGCUAAUCUUUCAUAUAAAUUACCCUUUAAAUUUUAACUAAGGCCCGAAACUAGAUUCACAAGUCGUAAUUUAGCCACUCUGGACGUAAAUUAGACUCUGCUAACCCUAUUGUUAGCCACUCUGGGUGUAGACUUGGUCAUACGAAUCGUAGCUCAGCCUACGGUUAAAUUUGUGGAUAAUUUAUACCUUCAGAUUAAGAUAGCGCGAAUGAAAAAAUCCGAAGGAUACAAAUUUUUCAAACUCGAGAGUUACGUUCGUAAUUUACAAUUAGAACUUAAGUUUGAAUCCUGAUGUUGGAGAGAGCUUAUGAUACUCUCUCUUGAAACGUGACGACUUCUGGCCGAAGCGACAAAAGUGUCGGAGAGAGCUUGUGAUACUCCCUCAUGGAACGUGACGAUUUCUGGCCGAAGCGACAGAAGUGUCGGAGAGAGCUUGUGAUACUCCCUUCUGGAAAUGUGAUGUUGUUUUACCCUGAGUCGGAGACCGGGUGUCCCAAUCGCCGACUCCUAAGUUUUGGAUUACUGUGAGGAUUUUGACGACUUCUGGUCAAAGCGACAGAAGUGUCGGUAGAGCUCGUGAUACUCCCCCUCUUGUAAUGUUUUGAUAUUUUUGUAAUUUUUUGGAACUCAAUCAAUUAUUUUGUUUUCUUAAUUAAUUGUUUAUUUAAUUUAUUUUUUGAAUUGUAAGUAAGACCCGAAACUAGAUUCACAAGUCGUAAUUUAGCCACUCUGGACGUAAAUUAGACUCUGCUAACCCUAUUGCUAGCCACUCUGGGCGUAGACUUAGUCGUACGAAUCGUAGCUUAGUCUAUGGCUAAACUCGCAAAAUAAAUUAAACUUCUCAACUAACCAAGACUCGCAAAACUAAGUGACGUAAUGAGUUGGAGAUACAAAAAUUAUCGGGAAUAGGACUUAGGAUUUUUUGAGAACCUAAGACUCUAGAUUUCAUUCCCUAAUGUGUAGUUGAACUCUGGCCGAAGCAACAGAGUAACUUUUUACCCUCAUCAAGGCCAUAGCGACAAGAUGAGGUUCAAUCGUAUGUGUUGUGGGUACUUAGAACCUCUUAGGGUUAGGUUCAUUUGUACUUAGGACAUGAUUUGUGACCAUGAUUUGUGACCCAUAAUUUGUGACCAUGAUUUGUGACCAUCACUUAGACUCGUGGGUCGUAAGCUAGGUUUGAGCGACGGGUAUCAUCCAGCCAAAGCGAUGGGUGAUAUAUGAGGUUGAAGAGACGGACGUCAUCCAGCCGAAGCGAUGGAUGAUUGAUCCGUCUGAAGCGACGGGUGAUUAUUCUAAAUAUGAUACUGCAUAUAUCUCUAUAGAUUAAAGAGAGAUUUAUUUAGAAUAAUGUCGCUAUUGCGAAUACAUAAGAAUAGCAUGAGCGACAAACAAAAUAAUCGACAUAUUUUGGUCGCUGGAUACCACUGACAGAAGCAUAGCCUGCAUGGUUAUUCUGGCCAAUCCUAUCUCUUAACAGGUGAUAGUUCCUCACUCCUAGCGUGAUGCACUUGAUUGCGAGUGUGAACUGUGGCUCUGGUUGCCAUCACUGUCAUAGGAUUGAGAGUGUGGGCUAUGGUCAUAACUGUUACUUGGCCGAGAGUGUGAGCUAUGGCUUUCGUGGCCAUAACUGUUACCAGACAGAGAGUGUGAGUUAUGACUUUGGUGGUCAUAACUACUGAUGAGAAGCUCCUCUCUAUACCGAGGAGGACUAGUCGAGGUUUCAGACUGGAAACUUGUAUCCUCGUAUGUAUCUUCUUUAGCAUAGCGAGGUUUUUUCCGGUUGGGCGGCUCGACUCCGCCCAACUUAUUAUUGUUCUCCUCUUCUAUCUCAAUGAACGAUUGAGCUCGUUGGAAGAGGUCGGGGAGGGUCUCCACUUUAUGGAGCGUAAGGUUCUGGGCCAAAGGGGAGUAGGGUACUAGCCCAUUCAUGUACCCCGCUAUGGCCAGACUCGGGAUUAGGCCGUUCACUUCUGUCAUCAUGGAAGUGAACUUAAUCGUGUAAUCCCUCAGAGACAGUUUGUUCUGUCGUAAUGCGAGUAGUGCGUUGGCACUGUGUUUUAUUCAGAUCAUUCCCACAUGUUGGGCGAUGAACUUCGAAGAGAGGUCCGCGAAGCUGGAGACCGAGCCAGCUGGCAGACCAGAGAACCACCGAUAAGCGUUGCCUUUGAGAGUGCCGGGGAAUGCCCGACACAACAGUCCGUUAUCGGUGGUCUGCGGUUCCAAGACACUAAGGUAGAGGUUGAUGUGAUCUUUUGGAUCACUCGAACCAUCAUACGCUUCUAUCUUGGGUACCCGCCAGGUUGGUGGAAAAGAUUCUUUCAAAAGAUCCUUGUGAAAAGGAGCGAUUUUGAUUCUCAAAAGCUCGAUCGGACUGCUGGCGACCGAAUUGUCGGCCAGCUUCCGACGGAGAUCUUCCACGAACUUUGUUGUAAGAGUCUUGUGAGUGCGACUCUUGCUAGGUCCAGCUUUUUCCUUAGGAGGUGUUGGAGAUUUCCUCUUUUUCUCCGUAGAUGGAGGAUAGUAAGACCCAGAUUCACCCGCUCCUUCGCGGAUGAUGGUCUUUUUGCCCCUUGCUUUCUCGAGGUUGCUAACUCUUUUUUCUAUGGAAUCCAUAAAGUUAAUCAACCUCUCUUCUAGCGUAGGAGUUAGGUUCACUCCCCCAUUUGAUGGGAGUGAUGAGGGCACCUUAUGUGCUGAUAGUGGUAUAUUGGAGGUUGGUAUAGUACGGGAACCAACCCUCCUACCAGAAGCUCCUACCUCAGUAGUAAUUGCGAGAGCUUUCUUUUUAUGAUCCUUAGUAAAAGGAGCCAUAAAUGGGAUGGUUGCUUCUAUCGGGUCGAAGCAACAGACUACGAGUGGAAGUUCUUCCGAAGUGUCGGAAGCUAUGGGUAGUACCUGCCCCCCCGGGUGUCGCAAAACAGAAAAAAUUUCGUAUAAUAUUUCUUUGUAGUUUUGUGACCCCCUUGAGCAGUACUACUAGUCCCCAAAGUUUGAAAUUAGUAAAAAAUAUCGGAAAAAAUUUGCAAUUUUUCUGCAGAAAAUCGUGCUGCCGGAGGUGGUUUUCGGGAUGCCUGUUUAGACCUAUCCCAGAAAAGAUUCCUUGCACUGUUGGGAAAUUCUGCUCUUUUGUACUCGUAGAGAAAACUUUUUUCACGUGAACUGUGGUUGUAGAAUUCCAAAAUCAGAUCUGGGUAUUCCGGAGGUGGACGGACAAAAUCACUGGUAGUGAAAAAAAGUAAAAAGCCCCAUACUCUUUUUUUUUUACCGAAACGACGAUGCGAGUCCAGCCAAAGCGAUGGAUUUUCGUUUCGGUAAAAGAGCUGGGCUAUGUGUCGUCUUAUUCAGCCGAAGCGAUGAAUGAAGACGAUGACCGAAUGACCGAAUCGACAAUUCAACUGUGGGAAUCGCCUACUCGGUGUGGGAGUCGGCGAUUCAAUUGUGAGAAUCGCCUACUCAGUGUGGUCUUAUUCAGCCGAAGCGAUGAAUGAAGACGAUAACUGAAUCGACAAUUCAAGUGUAGGAAUCGCCUACUCAGUGUGGGAGUCGGCGACUCAAUUGUGGGAAUCGCCUACUCAGUAUGGAAUAGUUGAUUCAAGUGGGAAUCGACGAUUCAGAUGGGGAUAGGUGAUUUUCUAUGAAAAAUCCAACCUAUAUGGAAGUGAAAGUGCCAGAGCAAAAGGCAUUGACAGGACUUGCUCAAAAAGCUAAAGGAAUCGGCGACUCCCUAUGUGGAGUCGGCGAUUCAACUUAUGGCCUUUUUGAACCAAACCGUGGACAACACUCUUAGCUAGCAGAAUAACCCGCAAUCGGCGACUCACUAGGUGGAGUCGGCGAUUGCCUGUGUGUAUCGGAGAUUCCUUAACACAAAGUUAGCGACUCACCAUAAGGGAAUCGAGCUGAACUUUGCGAAGAAAAUUUCGCGAUUACGACGGGAUAUCGUGGUUCGAUAGUCCCACAGACGGUGUCAGCUGAUGAAGCACGGAAUCUGCUACCAGUAGGCUCGCGGGGUAGCGAGGAGGGCCGGAGGCUUUGGAGUCCACGACGCGCGCUCUACGUCAAUGUACCUGCAGAAGUGGAGGGGAAUCGGCGACUCUCUUGGGAGUAGGCGAUUCGGGCUCCUUGGAUUGCUCUGGUGUGGUGUGGUCAAGUGGGAAUGACUUGGGAGUAGAGGAGCCCCAAGGUCCCUUUUUAUAGGGUCCUGGGGGACGUUUUCCCAUUCAUUAGCGUAGGGCCCACCCCAUUAUGGUGGCCUAUUGAGGGUGCCAUAAUGACGUGGGCCCUCCCAAGUAACGGCUGAGAAUCGGCGACUCAGGUAUGAGAGUCGCCGAUUCAGAGGUGGAGUCGCCGACUCCCCAUGAGCCAGGUUGGCAGUCUACCAGAACUGACCACGAGGCCUAGAGUCGGCGAUUCACCCCUGGAGUCGGCGACUUGGUAGUCCCAGUCGGCGAUUCCCAGGUGUUUCCUUGAGUACUUGACGUAGACACUUCCUCCGCAUUUGUAGAACUCUCCGGGGGUCCGGCAUAAAGCGACGGAACCCUAGUCCUUGUUGAAGGGCGUUGCUGGGAGUGACUGACGUAAUCAGGCAUGUCUCACCACUAUGCCACAAAGAACAAAACAAAGACAAAAUUCGAAAAUAGAGUCAUCAAGGGAAUUUUUCUAGGAUACUCAUUCCAAGGAAAGGGUUACAAAGUGCUCAACCCAUCUACUCAAGAAAUUUUCACAAACAGGGUUGUUACAUUCUUUGAAGAGAUCUUUCCCUUCAAAGAAGAACCAAAACAACAUGAGAAAGAUUUCUUCAAUAAAGAAUCAUCAGAAGGAACAAACAUAUACACAAUAAACAUCACUCCUCCACUUGAUCAAUAUGAGUCAGAAGAAGAGAAGGAGAUAACAUCAAUCCCUCAAAUUUCCCAAAUUCCUCCUUCAAUGGAACCUACUGAACAAUAUGAGUCAGAGGAAGAAGAAGAAAUGACUGACAGAACAAUAUCAACAAACAAUGAGGAAACCAACAGAACAUCAAAAAGGACUAGAAGAAUACCCUCAUAUCUAAAGGACUAUAAACUACAACUGGCAUCAUCCAAAAACCCAAUAGAAAAACUAAUAUCAUGCCAAAACUUUACUUCAGAACAUUAUGCUCUGCUCUCAGCAAUAAAGAGCAAUGUUGACCCAAAUUCCUACAAAGAGGCAUCUAAACAUGCCAAAUGGAACAACGCCAUAAAACAAGAGCUUGAGGCUCUUGAAAAUAACAAAACCUGGACCAUUACAAGCAUCCCUGAGGGCAAGAAACCAAUUGAAUAUAAAUGGGUCUACUAAACAAAAUUCAACAGUGAUGGAACUGUUGAGAAACAUAAAGCAAGGCUAGUAGCCAAAGGUUACAAUCAAAUUGAAGGCAUAGAUUUCACAGAAACCUUUGCCCCUGUCUCUAAGAUGACAACACUAAGGGUCAUCUUAGCAAUAGGAGUAUCCAAGAAAUGGCACAUGCAUCAAAUGGAUGUGCAAAAUGCAUUUCUAUAUGGGAUCUUAGAAGAGACUAUAUAUAUGAAAAUACCUUCGGGUUUAGAAAUACCAAAAAAUUCACCACCUAAUUCAGUUUGUAAAUUGAAUAGAUCACUAUAUGGCCUGAAACAAACAUCUAGAGUGUGGUAUCAAACCCUAUCAAAAGCUUUAUCCAAUUUUGGAUACAAGCAAUGUAAAACAGACUACUCACUGUUUAUAAACAUUGAUGAUAAAGAUACCACAAUAGUAUUAGCAUAUGUUGAUGAUCUGUUGAUAACAGGAAACAACAUAAACAAAAUAAAUUCCUUAAAAGAAAAUUUAAAGAAAAUUUUCAAAAUAAAAGACCUUGGAGAACUCAAAUACUUCCUAGGCCUUGAAUUCACCAAAACACCCAAUGGCUUAUAUAUUGGGCAAAGAAAAUACACCUUAGACCUAUUAGAAAAAUAUGACUUAACUCAAUGUAAACCAAACAAUACACCUAACAGUCAAAAACAAAUAUCCAACUAUAAAACAAAAAAAUAUAUUAACAUUAAUCCAAUACAACCAAAUAAUCACACUAAUAAAACACCAAUGCAAUCAAACAAAACAGAGGAAAAUGGAGUUCCAUUAGAGGACCCAUAAAAAUACAGAAGCAUAAUUGGCAAGUUAGUUUAUUUAACUUGCACAAGGCCAGACAUAUCAUAUGCAGUGACUUAUUUAAGUCAGCACAUGGCCACACCCACAGACAUUCACAUGAAAGCAUCCUACAGAGUAUUAAAAUAUAUAAAAGGAUCACCUGGUGUGGGGUUACAUUUCACAGGAUCCUCAAUGGACCACAUCUCUGCCUUCUCUGACUCAGAUUGGGCAAGUUGCCCGACCACUAGGCGAUCAACAUCGGGGUUUUCCAUCUUCCUUGGUACUUCACUAGUAUCUUGAAAAUCAAAAAAAUAAUAGACCAUAUCAAGAUCAUUAGCCUAUAUUAUCCAAUACAGCCGAAUAUAGACAUUAGCCUAUACUACAUGUGAAAUAACUUGGUUGACAAUGCUAUUGCAAAAGAUAGGAGUAUACCAAAUACAACGAUCACCGGCUCCUCGUAUCUUCACCGAUAGCACAGCAGCAGAGGCGAUUGCUCGAAACCCUAUCUCACACCAACGAACAAAGCACAUAGAAAUCGAUCUCCACACGGUAAGGGACAAAGUUUUAGCGGGAGAUAUUACACUAAGACACGUCUCCAGUGCACAAAACAUUGGUGAUUUUUUCACUAAACCCUUAGGUGGCCCAGCAUUCAAACAUUUAAUCCAAAAAUUAAAUCUCAUCGAUAUACACACCCAAAAUUCAAACCCAAUUAAUUCACUAAAAACACCCCAUUGCUCCCACAUAUUCAAAUCAAACCCUAACUGGUUUUGAUUUGAGGGAGGAUAUUAGAGAUACACCCCUACGUUAAAUAAUAUCACAAAUAUAACAUUAUAAUAAAUAUUACACUCACCCCCUUUUAUUUAAUCAUAACUCUUCAUAUUCCAUUAUUUAUAUUUCCAUAUAUAUCAUAUUAUUUCAUAUUCCCAUAAUCAUUAAUUACUAUAAUUAAAGACACACAACCAACAUAGCCGUUGGGUGUUCUUCUAUAUAAACACACCUAGACUUCAUCCACAAAUACACAAUCACACACUCUGUAAUCACAAUUACAGUCAUUGUUUGAUUACUACGAUCUUCAACUUUCACAGUCUUCAAACGCUUCCGCAACACACCAGUUGAAUCAAAGAUUCACCACUCAAUUCAUCUUCAAUUCAUUCCAACAAAGCUGAAGAUCAUCGCUGUAAAGAAGAAAAACUGAUGUAUAGACAGAAACAUCAGACUGAAUAUAUAGAAGAAGCAGGAUAGAGAAAGAAAGAAAGGAGAAAAAGAAAUACAAUGGGGAAGAUACAGUUAGAGAUCUAACUGCCCAAAGAUAGUGGAAUCAACUUUGUAUCCAGAUUGUGAAGAAAGAGGAAUGAGCACAAGAAGCCCUAAUUUCAAUAUGGAAAAAUAUCAAGUAUACAAAACACAAUCUUCAAAAACUAAUUCAUUAGUAUUAGUUUAUACUAUUUAUAAACCUUACUAGGUUAUUUAUCUAUUAGUCCAUUUACUAACUAAUAUUAUUAAUAUACCCUUAUGUGUGAAUUUACACUUAUGGUAUGAUAUUUAAUACUAUCUUUACAUUCCCCCUCAAUAUCAUAAUUGAAUCAAUCAAUUAUGAUAUUGAUCAAUCAAUUAUGAUAUUGAUCAAAAUUUCAGAAACAUGAUCAGAAUCUUUUCCUGCUCCUUUGUCCUUGUCGAGGCCCUUCAUCUUAACGACAUAUAUAGAUCCUUUGUUUAGUCCUUUCUCUGUUCACCAAUUCUUAUAUAGAUCCUGCAUUUAUACAUAUUAUAGAUGUCAUCCAGGCAGGGACCAACUCCCUUUAGCUUCCUUUGCAGUCUUGAUUCCUGCACACAUUCAAGCAUUACAUACCACUCAUAGCUACACAAAUAAUAAUAACAUCAAAUAUUUAACCAAUAUCAUAAUAGAUAUAUAACAUUAUCAAACAUAAUAACAUCAGUCCUGAUUUAUUAUUAUUAUUAUUAUUUAUUAUUAUUAUUAUUUGGUUCUAAGUCUCUUUACUAUCUGGUUUUUGUCAUUUGAUCCUCUACUGAAGAUGCAUUUUCAUCAUUUCUUAUGUCUACUUUUUUCUUAAUAGGACUUAGUUUAUGUUUGUUCCUAUGCCUUCUAAAAUCUUCAGUUCCUAGUAUCUUUGUGAAUCUAUCCGCAAGUUGCUGGUUGGAUGGAAUAUACUCUAUCCUUAUUGCUCCUUUGUUUACUAGUUCUCCAAUGAAAUGUAGAGAGAUGUCCAUGUGUCUUGUUCUUCCACUUGAACUUGGAUUUUUUGCCAAAAAUAUGGCAGAUUUGUUAUCACAUAGCACUAGUGGUGAAGAAUCUAGUUUUAUCCCUAAUUCUCUAAAUAGAUAGCAAAACCACUUUAUUUCUGAUAUUACUCCUGUUAAUGCCCUAUAUUCAGCCUCACAACUUGAUUUUGCUACUGUUGAUUGUUUCUUAGCUGACCAGGCUAUCACAUUAUUUCCAAACCAUAUGCUAGAUCCAGAUAUGGAAAUCCUGUCAUCAGGAUUGUUUCCCCAAUCUGAGUCACAGUAUGUUAUAAGUGUGUUUUCUGACCUAUCUGAGGAAUUAAACCUAAGUCUUAAGUUGAUACUUCCCUUGACACAUCUCAGUACCCUUUUAGCUGUUUGUAAGUGUAUCUCAGUAGGUAUUUGUAAAAACUGACUCAAGUGAUUUACAUGAAAUGCAAUAUCUGGCCUUGUUAGAGUAAGAUAUUGCAGUGAUCCAAUUAUACUUCUAUAAACUUUUGGAUCCUCUAUAGGUGUUCCCGUUUCUUUUAUUUUAGAUCUUCAACUCCAAUUAUUUUAAAAAAUAAAGAUGUAUCUGUUUUGCUAUUGGAAAAAUCAUUCUUUGUUAGAAAAUUUUGUAAUCUGGAGUACCAAGCUCUAGGAGCUUGUUUAAGUCCAUACAAGGCCUUAUGAAGAAGACACACAUGUUUAGGUGAUUUCUUAUCUAUAAAUCCAGUUGGUUGCUUCAUAUAGACUGUCUCAUUUAGAUAGCUAUUUAGAAAGGCAUUUUUAAUGUCAAGUUGUUUUAAUUGCCACCUGUGUGAAGUGGCUAAUGACACAAUUGCCCUGACUGUGUUCAUUCUAACCACUGGCCUAUAAGUUGAGGUAUAAUCCACCCAUUCUUCCUGGUUAUAUCCUUUAGCAACUAACCUUGCCUUAUAUCUUUCUAGGGUUCCAUCUACCUUCUUUUUUAUUUUGAACACCCAUUUGCAUCCCACAAUGUUCAUAUCAUUCGUUUGAGGAACUAGACUCCAUGUAUCAUUUAUUUUGAGAGCAUUCAUCUCUUCUACCAUUGCUUCCCUCCAUUUUUCAUCUUUGUUUGCCUGACUAAAUGAAAUUAGUUCAUCACUGUUUAGUUCUGAAUAGGAGCAUUCAUAGUCUUUGAGUAACACAGAAGGUUGUUUUACUCUAGUAGGAUAACUUUGAGUUUUAGUCACCUCAGGUUGACUACCACUAAUGCUUAAGUUCUGAAGUUGGGAAGAGAGAUCUUCUAUAUUCACUGAGUUUCCAGAACCAUUGCACUGUAUUGGUGUUUCUCUUGUUGUUUGAAUUUCAAUGGUUGUUCUCAAAUUACUGUUUAUUCUACUCUCAGAUCCAUUUCCUUGUUGUAUUAAAUUGUUGUUCCCUUGGGUUAUUUCUUUUCCUAUUGUCAUUGUGGGUAAUAUAAUGGAACAUGUAGUUGACUUUGCCAUUUCUUUUUUUUUUGCUUAUUUCCUUGUUUUAUUUCGCUAAAAAUGGGAAUUCUAGUUCAUUGAAUUUCCGUGCUGGGCCUCCCACCUUCUCUCUGAACCGUCUUUAUGACGCAUUGAAUUCUGAGCUUCUUUCCCCUUCACUUUCUUCCUAUAAAUAGGGUGUUGAUAGUUUUCGUUCUUCUAUCCUCUCUUCCUCCACGAUGAGUAUCCAAGAUAUCCUUAAGGAAUACGGCCGUGAAGUGCAGCUCCAGCAUGCUGCGUGGGCCGCGUGCCUGCUGACGCCCGCUGGCAAGUCCAACACCAUGGCUGUGGCGGAGACUUAGCGACUUAACUCUGUGCUGAUAGACAUUCACCGCCGUCUCUCACGGCUGCACCGUACCGACCUUCCUGCCGAUGUCUCGGUCCCUGGGGCCGGCUCCCGCCGCUGCUCCUGUUGGUGGUGUUCGGUCGAGUUUCCGCUACUCCGUGCACGCCGCUCCAGCUGCCGCUCCAGAAAGAACUGUCGGCCGCCGCCGUCGGUCGCGCGGCCAUCGUGGCUCCCGUGGAUCUCGUCCCUCCCGGCUACUGACCUGCGCCACUUUUUGUCGGGGUCCGCUAGGCCCGCCCUUGGACGAUCCGCGCCCGCUCCUAGGGCUCUUUCGGCCGACGGGGUUGCCUUCGGGUGGUGACGCUUCGCCCGCUCCCUAGUCUCUCGCGGGCGUGGUGUUUAGGGUGCCCUGACGUAUUUUACUUUUAUGCUUUUGUUAUUCCUGUAACUUAUUUAAACUUUUGGCCUUUGUUGUAUUAUUGGCCCCUGUACUUUUCGUCCGUUAGUAUGACGUUGCACUUUUCGCUUUCGGCUGUCCUGGUAUUUUGAUUCUGUUAUUGUUUUCUUUAUUUUCGUGUUGAUACAGUUUUCUGCUAUUCGACGUCCGUCGUCGACGUCGCCCGGGCCCUCUUCGAGCUUCGCUCGUCUUUUGGUUCAUUGACGGUUCUUCCGUCCCCCCUAUCACCUGGCCCGUCCUUCCCCGUGCCCCGUUCUGGGAUCUCCCGCCUGUUACUCGGUUUCGCUAGCCGCUCCGUUCGGUUCCGUUGACUUGCGCUUACGUACGCCCAGGGUCUCUCUGGGGACCCUCGUCCGCGACUCUCCUGCGGCUCAAUCCGCAGCGUAUGUCGACGUCCGCCUGCUGGGGCCAUCAUAUUCCUUACUCGCUCCUGUCGGGUACCGUCUUUCCUUCUGUUCCCCGAUGAUUUGGGCCGCAGGCAUCCAAGGUUCCCCGGCCCAUGUCGACCUGAAGGCCCCAGGUACCCGCGACGCCUCGUCUUUCUGUACCUCUCCCGCUAUAUAAGUCCUCCGCCUUCUCACUAUCCUCACUUCCACUCUAAUUUUUGCUCUCCCUAAUUCUAUCCUUACUCUCCCCCUCUUCCUCUGUUCAGGUUCCCGAUGGCUGCUGCUGCUUUGCGUGCCGCCGGCUCCACCGCGGAUCAGGUUUUUUCAGGGUUAUUUGACAUCCCCGACCCCAAGAAACCCCUGGCCAACAUCACCGCCGACGCCAUUCGCGAUUCGCUAGGUCGCAUGGGCCGGGGUGACCUCGUCUUUACUGAAGCGGGCCGCCGGCUCGCCUCCUCUCCGCCAGAGGGCAUGGUGGCCCUGUCCUCCUCCUAUGCCGACUGCGGCCUUAAGCUACCUCUAUCCCCCCUUUUGUGCGAGGCGGUGCGCUUCUGCCGAGUCUCUUUCUCCCAGCUCCCUCCGGCUUCCUUCGACCGGCUACUGACUUUCUCACUGCUUUGCCGACGGUGCGGGAUCGAAGCUUCACUGGUUGUCUUCUAGAUAAGGCUCCAGAUAAUGUCCAUGCCUCAGGAUCCCCGAUGCAUGCUGAUCAGCCAGCGCGGGGGGUUUCCUCUGUUCGAUCAUUUGGCUGAUCGGUCCCACAACUGGGGCGACCAUUUUUUUUUCGUGUCGGUGGACGCCCUGGGACAGAUUGAUCUCGAAUCGCCGCCGCCGCCUCACUGGGGGCUUCUCACGCAGCUAAAGACACGAACCACCCCUCCGCUCAUGUCUGACCUGGACGGCCCACAGUCGUGCGCAUACGAGGUGUUUAUCAAGGUCUAUUGUCGCGGUUCCGUCAGCGCCCGAGAAUUGGUUACAAAUUGGUCUUAUGACGACCAUCUGCAGAAGUCCAUCUGGACGGACUAUACCCGCGAUGGCCCGCCGAAGCGUGCGGUCGGUAAGAUGCGUUCGGCCGCUGAGACCGUGUUUCUGACGCCUUCGCCUCCACUGUCCUCGCUGCCCGAGCCCGAGCCUAAAGUCGCUCUCAAACAUACCCGGCUCGAGAUGCGACAAAGGAAAAAAAUGCGAGCCGAGAAGAAAAAGCUGGGAAGUCCCCGGUCCUUGCCGCGUACACCUCCUUCUGCUGAGGCUUCGGAUGAGGUGCUGAGCGCCCUCGAGUCUGACGGUCUGGAACCCAAGCUCUUCAAGACCUUCGUCGAGUCCUGCGAGCGUUUGUCUGAACUCGCCGCCGUAGUCAAUCCAUCUUCGUCCCUUCCUCGUGCCGUGGGGAUUCUUCGGAACCGGCUUUUCAACGUUAACUCCUGGUUGCUGCAAGAGGAGGAGUACGUGUCGCAGUUCGCCUGUGCGCCAUCGGACCUCGACCAGGACCACCAUUACCAGCUACUCCAACUGUCCAUUCUCUCCAAGGUGCGCUUGCAGCAGGGCCGUGAUCAAGCUGAUGAGAUGGCGAAGCUGCGCGAACAGGUCGCUUGUCUGAGGGGCGAUGUUGAGGCUGUCACCCGGCAGCGCGACCAGUUGGUGUAGGGGGCUUCCAAAGUCGUUGAAGAGCAUCGGCUUCGCGUGGUCGAGGUCCAGACUGCUUGUGCGGCUGUUGAGGAAGCUGCCGCUGCUGUUAAGAAGCGAACCAUGGCCAAGUUCCUUCCCGUAUUUGAGACGCGCCUCGCCGUCCUAAAGCAGGACCAUUUCAUCGAGUGAAAGGACGCGAAACGUGCCUGUUUCUGGAAGGGCUACGUUCAUGGGCGGGCCAUGUGCACUCUUGCUCUCCCCUCUCUCGCGGACGUCGUGGUGCCCCGGAGCGCUCGCGACUGGGUAGAGUGGAAGGUGACGGGCGGUCCUGACUACCAGCCCCCCUUGGACGUGAGCGAAGGCGAGGAGGAGGAUCUCGAAGCUGACUUCCCCGAAUACAUUGAUCCGCCUACCUUUGACUAGCCGGUCCUUGUGGUUAGCCAUUUUUUCCUCCUUUUUUUUUGUACCUACAUACUUAGUUUUUUUUUAAAAUGAAGACUUUUCCUUUUCUUUGCAAUGUUUUGCGUUCUUACUUAUUGCUCGUUUCCCUCCUAGGGGCGGCCUGGGCCGACCGAACGUUCACGUGUGGUCUUCUGACCUUAGGAACCUUCGACCGGCCUUUUCGGCGGGCCCCCUUUUUGCCUAUCGUUUCCGAUUCGCGUUAUUUUCUUUCCCCUCUUUUGCCCCUCUCUUCGGCCUUUGGGGCGCGUGACAGUAACGAAAAAGAAAGCCUAUAAAAGAUAAAUGGGCGCUUCGGGUGCUUUUCAUUUGGCAUCGUGUGCCUUGGUUGGAGGGGGAAAAAAAUACAACGACAUGAGAAGGGAAAAGGGAGAAGGCGGAGCGACGUCUCGGUCUUCAACGCUUAUACUUUUCCAAGUUGUCGGCGUGCCACGUCCUUUCUAUCUCUUGCCCGUCUUCGUAACCCAGGUAGAAGAUGCCUGGGUGAACCUCAUCUAUGAUGACGUACGGGCCUUCCCAUCUUGCCGAGAGCUUCCCCUUCAUAUGGUCUACUCCCGUUACUUAGUGUUAAUAAUAAAAUAAAAUAUUAUAUUGGAUUGGAUUUGAAUAUUAUAUCUGUGAUUAGGGGUGGACGUGGGCGAGUUAAACCAGAACAUGUUGUGUACGGAUUCAGGUGUAUAUUUUCGACCAUGAAACACAUGAAAAACUUGAACCCGAGUUUUUUCAUCUGAUUUUUUCGAAUCGGGUUCAGGUAAACUCGAACCAAACUCGAUUCAUCCAAAUUUUUUAUAAAAAAAACUUUAAAAUAUAAAUAAAAUUUUAUUUUAUAUAAAAUAUUUUAUAAAAAUUUAAUAUAUACAUUUAAUAAAUUUCCUUUCUUCUUCUAAAAUUUAUUCCCUAAUAUUAUUAUCGAUUUCAUCUUCCCUCUUAUUGCCGUACUCAUCGUAGUCGCCUGAUACAUCUUCACAUUUGAAUCGAGACUGUUUCGGAUACAAUUAUGUGGAAAAUGAAAGAUACAUGUUUCGGAUCUUUUGUUGGCAUGGUCGAUUUCCCAAUAAAAUCGAGACUGUUGGAUGAUUUGGUUGGCUGUUAUGUUGGUAAUUACUGUUUUGAAAUCAAGGGAAAGAAAUUGGAGGUUUCGGUCAAGUAAAUCGGCGAAAUUAUUGGAGUUCCAUAUCAAGGACUGCCAAUUAACAUGAAGCCAAAGGCGAAACCCACAGGUGGAAGAUUUUCCUCAAGCAUCAUUCAAGAUGACUCCAGACAGUGGAGUGUAUGUUCUCACGGCAAUGAAUUAUAUAGUCAUGGGGGACACCGUGCUAUGGAGUAGAAAAGAUGUGGAUCAAAUGGCCGACAAAAUCGUAUAUGAUAUUCUUCGCGCUGUUCUUUUAGAUGUUAAAUGCUACUUACAUUACAAACAAAAGCUUAGAUUGUGUCUGUUAGGGUUUUAUGUAUUCUGUUUAUUACAGGUGAAUUAGUAAAUGGUACAUCUAUUAGUAUAUGUUAUAUCAUUAACUAAUUAAUUUAAUAGCAUUAUCAAACACUGAAAAAGCAUUAAUUAUAAGCAGUUAGGAUAUCUAGCCCUCUGUUUAUCGAGCAUUAAGGAUACCUUGGCCCAUGGACAUUGACUAUACACAUAAUGUCAUUACAAGCAAUCGUAGUAGCAUCCAGGCCAUUCAUUUGCAACAUUACCUAGUAAUAAUAACAUUAGUACGUAGGUUACUAACAUUAAGGAUACCUUGGUCCAUGAUCAUUGACCACACACAUAGUAGCAUUAUAAGCAAUCGGAGUAGCAUCCAGGUCAUUCAUUUACAAUAUUACCAAGUAAUAAUAGCAUUAUUAGGUAGGUUACUACGUUUAAGGAUACCUUGACCUAUGUUUCAUUGACCACACAAAUAAUAGCAUUACAAGCAAUCGGAGUAGCAUCUAGGCCAUUCAUUUGCAACAUUACCAAGUAGUAAUAGCAUUAGUAGGUAGGUUACUACCAUUAAUGAUACAUUGACCUAUGUUUCAUUGAGCACACACAUAAUAGCAUUACAAACAGUCGUAGUAGCAUCCCGGCCUUUCAUUUUUAACAUUACCAAGUAAUAAUAGCAUUAGUAGGUGGUUGACUAGCAUUGCGGAUACGUCAGCCUAUGUUUCAUCGAGCACACACAUAAUAGCAAUACAAGCAGUCGUAGUAGCAUCCCGGCCAUUCAUUUUCAACAUUACCAAGUAAUAAUAGCAUUAGUAGUUAGGUUACAAGCAGUGAGAAUAUCUUGGUCUAUGUUCAUUGAGCACACACAUAAUAGCAUUAGAAACAGUCGUAGUAUCAUCCCGGCCUUUCAUUUUUAACUUUACCAAGUAAUAAUAGCAUUAGUAGGUAGGUUACAAGCAGUGAAGAUACCUUGGCCUAUGUUCAUUGAGCACACACAUAAUAGCAUUAGAAACAGUCGUAGUAUCAUCUUGGCCUUUCGUUUUCAACAUUACCAAGUAAUAAUAGCAUUAGUAGGUAGGUUACCAGCAGUGAGGAUACCUUGACCUAUGUUUCAUUGAGCACAUACAUAAUAGCAUUACUAACAGUCGUAGUAGCAUCCAAGCCUUUCAUUUUCAACAUUACAAGUAAUAAUAGCAUUAGUAGUUAAGUUACAAGCAGUGAGGAUACCUUGGCCUAUGUUUAUUGAGCACACACAUAAUAACAUUAGAAACAAUCGUAGUAUCAUCCCGGCCUUCCAUUUUCAAACCCUAACAUUUUCAUUUUCAAACAGUCGUAGAACAUUCUAAAUAUCAAAGAAUAAACAUUCGUCUUAUAAGUGGUGUUAAUUGUAACUGUAUCUCCGAAUAACUUAAAAUGUUGAAUCAUUAUGGAAUCAACCCAAAAAACAUGUUUAAGUCUACCACUAGAAUCCUUGACAAUAGAAUAAAAGAAAUCCGGUUGUACAGACUUCUUCAUUUCGAAUUCCUCGACCAGUAGAUCAACGCCAUAAUUCUUCAGAUCGACAUGAUCGUCACGACACAUAUUCGAUAUAUCCAAUUGCGUACAUCCCAUAUGUUCGAUUCCACCAACUUGAGUUGAAAAAUAAGCAGUUUGCUGUGAAACGGGUACAUUGACUUCACUAAGAGAUUGGAAAAGUAAUCUGGAGGUAGAGGAUAUCGAACGAUUUAUGGGAAGGAACCGUACUUUUGAAGAUGUGGUGAGGGGAUGAUUGUGCUCAAGAACAAUAUGUUUAACAAUCCAUACUUCAGACAUACCUUCUCUCUUUAUUUUAAUACUUGCACAACAACCACACCUUGAAAAUACAUUCUUACGUCGCUUGUCUAAUUUAGAAGGAUGUAAUAGAUCAACUGUUCCUUCUUUCGAACACAACAAUCGUCCCAUAACUAAAUUUUUUUUACCGUACGUCAUCCUUACUGGUUUUAUAGUUAGUAGAACCCAAACGAACGGAGAAACCCAUUUUCGACGCAUAACCAUAAUAUUGAUCAAGAGCAUCAGAAUAUGAGGAAUAAAUUUGACCAAAAGUGAGUGAUGAAUUCAAUUUAGCAUUGUCUGAAGAAGAAUUGGUAUCAGUGGGUUGUUUGGGAACGAAAAAACUAGGAGAAGCAUUGACGGAAGAAGUAAUAGCAUUAGGUAGUCCAGUUCCAUCAUUAUUCUCAGAAGAAAUAAGAGUACGCAGAUUGUCUAAUGGAGUGUCAUGGUUUUGAUGAGGAACAUAAUUAGAAUUACGAAUAAGUGGGAAAUCAUUGAUUCUUAAACAUUGUACAUUACCAUGGGUUUCAUUAGGAUUACAAUCAGAUGGUUUUUCUGUUUGGAUAGAGUAAAAAUCGAGACUAACAUUACACUGAGGUCUAGAAUGUUGUGUGGGUGGAAUCAAUGGUUGGGCAUGGAGUGGACGAUAUGGGAGUGGUGUGAUAUAUAUAGAGGAGGAAUUAGGAGAGAAAUGAAUGGUGUUUUUAGGCUCAAUGUUAGGUUGUUGUAAGGGUGAUGAUUGAUCAAUAACAUUUAAUGAAUUUAGAGUCGACACACCUUGAUGGAUGUCAAAGUCAUUUAAUGGUGAAAAGAUGGUAAGCGAAAAAACAAAAGGGUAAGACAAAAACAAGAAGAAUAGAAGCUUGCGUGGAAAAAAUAAAACGAAUAAAAAAAUUAAAAAUAAAAUAAAAAACUACACGUGGGUUGCGCGUGUUGAGGAAAAAAGUUUCACCGGUUACGAAGGGUGGGGAUUAUUUGUGUGAUUUUGGAAGGCUGCGAUGCCUUCGCAUUGUCAGCUGAUGCGAAGGCAUUCGCAGCUGAUUUAUUUUGCUAAUAUAUAUUUCAAUAGAGAUGAUCGGGUAUAUAUGAAUGAUGGUGAUUGACUGAUUGGAUAUGAUAUGACUAUUAGAAUACCAUGACGGUUGCCGGAAAAAAAUAUUGACAGUCUAGCCGUCAAAAACUUAAAAAGAAAAAUUACACUAGUGACCAGACUGUAAAAAAAUUUCUCUUUUUAAAAGGAAAAAUAGUAUCCCUGAUUACGAUGACUAAGCCGUAAGUAUCAACGUAGAAACAUCACUGACAAUCUAGUGGUCAGUAAUUACCCAUUAGAAAAAUACUAUUAUUUUAUAGUGACAGUAGGCUGGUUUAUCUUAAUUUUAAUAAUAUAAUAUUAUAUCGUUAAUUUCAAUGUUAUGACUUAUGCUAUAAUACAAAUAUUAUCAGGUGAUUUCUUAGUGUUAAUAAUAAAAUAAAAUAUUAUAUUGGAUUGGAUUUGAAUAUUAUAUCUGUGAUUAGGGGUGGACGUGGGCGAGUUAAACCAGAACAUGUUGUGUACGGAUUCAGGUGUAUAUUUUCGACCAUGAAACACGAUAUGAAAAACUUGAACCCGAGUUUUUUCAUUCGAUUUUUUCGAAUCGGGUUCAGGUAAACUCGAACCAAACUCGAUUCACCCAAAUUUUUUAUAAAAAAACUUUAAAAUAUAAAUAAAAUUUUAUUUUAUAUAAAAUAUUUUAUAAAAAUUUAAUAUAUACAUUUAAUAAAUUUCCUUUCUUCUUCUAAAAUUUAUUCCCUAAUAUUAUUAUCGAUUUCAACUUCUCUCUUAUCGCUGUACUCAUCGUAGUCGCCCGAUACAUCUUCACAUUUGAAUCUUCACAUUAUUUAAUAAUUAUUUGAUAUUUUAUCUUAUUUAAGAUUUUAAAAAUUAUUCGAUAAAAUUAUUUAAAUAACAAGAUUUUUUAUAUAAAUUUUUAAAAAAAAAUUAUUAAACCCGAACUGACAUCCAAAUCAAGUUAAGGUUUUAUAAUUUUAAAAAAUUCGAUUAGUGUGAUGAUAGGAGUUAUCAGGAUAAACCUAACAAUGAAUACGAAUAAACAUAACGAUGAAGAUUAAGAAUAUACUGAACAUAAUGAUAAAAAUCAGCUGCUGAUUCACAGAUGAUUAAAGUAGAAAGGUGUUAAAAAAAAUUCAAACUUUGCACCAGAGGUCCAAAACGAACAAUCCGGGAAUUUCUAAUCGAUCUCAGAUUAUCUCCCGUAUUUUUUCUUCCUUGAAUCGCCAUCAUUAUCAUCAUCGACAACAUCAUAAUCAUCAUUAUAGCUAUCAUCGUCUAGGGUCCCAAUCCAAUUAAUGCUGAGUCGUUUGAUCAUGUAUCGUAGAGAUUAAAGUAGAAAGGUGUUAAAAAAAUUUCAAACUUUGCACCAGACCGAACAAUCCGGGAAUUUCUGUUCGAUCUUAGAUUGUCCCCGGUGUUUUUUCUUCCUUGAAUCGCCAUCAUUAUCAUCAUCGUCAUCAUCAACAAUAUCAUAAUCAUCAUUAAUGCUAUCAUCGUCUAGAGUGUAUUAAUUAGGUGAGUUGUGGUACCAAUUUUACCAACCGAGAUGCAGGUUCGAUAAAUGAAGAAGAGAAGUUUGAUACAGGUAGAGAGGGAUCCAUUUCUGUAAAUAGAAGGGCACCGGAACGCGGGAUGGAGUUGGUUGACGUGAUAAACUCCAGGUUCCUGGAGCAUAUACCGGUGGAUUGGAUCGUUGUGAUGUUGGCAUUUGGUGGUUUGGUGAUUCUAAAAUAUUUCAUCUUCUUCCUGAGAUGGAUCUACGUCUACUUUCUGAGACCAUGUAAAGAUUUGAAGAGAGUUUACGGUUCAUGGGCAAUCGUCACUGGUAGCACUGAUGGUAUCGGAAGAGCCAUGGCUUUAGAAUUGGGUCGGAAAGGAAUGAAUCUGGUACUCAUCGGACGGAAUCCUGGUAAAUUAAAAGCAGUCUCCGACGAGAUCCUGACCGGAGAAUAUUGUCGUGGUUCUAAAGACAAGGACAGCAUACGUGUGAAAACAGUCGUGUUUGACAUGUCCGGCGACCUAAUCGAAGGAAUAGCUCUGGUCGGAGAAGCAAUCAAAGGGCUGGACGUGGGAGUUUUGGUCAACAACGCCGGAUUGAACAACUCAAACGGUAUUUUCUUUCAUGAAGGGAGAUUAGAGCUAUGGAGGGAGAUUGUGAAGAUUAACGUAGAGGCUAUAACAAUGGUGAGUAAAGUUGUUAUUGAUGGAAUGAUAGAAAGAGGGAGAGGAGCCAUAGU